GGAAGACUUAUCUUAGUUGGAAUGGAAUUCGAGGUCAACUGCUAAUUUCAGACCCAGAUCUAGUCAAAGAGGUCCUUAAAAACAGUGACAAAGCUUUUCGAAAGCCAAAGAUUUCAUAUUUCUUCGACAAGCUAAUAGGCGAUGGGCUUGCUUCAACCGAACGUGAGAAAUGGGCAAGGCAAAGGAAACUGGCCAAUUAUGCCUUUCAUGGGGAGAGCUUAGAAGUAAAUCAUCUCUACCUUCUAAUCUAAUUAUUGUAGUGGGACAUUUACAAACUUGAUAAUUUUUUGCAGAAUAUGACUCCAGCAGUAGUUGCUAGCGUUGAAACCAUGCUUGAGAAAUGGAAAAGUAAGGAGGGCAAAGAGAUAGAAGUGUUCCAAGAGUUCAGAUUAUUGACUUCAGAAGUGAUAUCCAGAACCGCCUUUGGUAGCAGUUACUUGGAAGGGGAGAAGAUUUUUGACAUGCUGAUGAAGUUGACAGUAAUUGCGGGCAGAAAUAUUUUAAAAGCAAAGAUUCCCAUCAUCAGGUAACUUCAUCAAAUCUUUACUUUGUUAAUCAACAUACUUCAGCUUACAAUGGGUUGAUUUAAUCUGGUUGUCCUUUUCAGCAAGUUUUGGAAAUCUGCUGAUGAAAUUGAAUCAGAAAGAAUUGCCAAAAUGAUACAUGAUUCUGUGAUGAGGAUUGUUAAAAAAAGGGAAGAGAGAGUAGUGAACGGAGAAGCUGAUAACUUCGGUCGUGAUUUUCUGGGAUUACUUGUAAAUGCUUAUCAUGAGGCGGACCAGAAAAACAGGCUUUCGAUUCAAGAUAUGGUAGAUGAGUGCAAAACUUUUUAUUUUGCUGGGCAAGAAACAGUCAAUUCCUUGCUUGCAUGGGCAACUCUGCUUUUAGCAAUACACACCGAUUGGCAAGACAAAGCAAGAGCAGAGGUGAUUGAGGUCUUUGGUAAUCAAAAGCCAGAUUCUGAAGGGAUGGCCAAAUUAAAGACGGUAAGCAAACUAUACAAAUUCAAUAGCUUGAAAACUAGCACUGACCAUUUAUAUUGCCUUUUGGAUUUCUUUUUCUCCAACAGAUGACCAUGAUUAUCAAUGAAACUUUACGGCUCUAUCCUCCUUUAAAUCGCGUGAUAAGAGAAGUAGGAAGAGAAGUCCAAUUAGGAAAACUUGUCCUGCCUACUCAUUUAGAGGUCGACAUGCGAAUCAUAGCACUUCACCAUGACCCUGACUUAUGGGGAGAUGAUGUUAAUCUUUUCAAACCAGAGAGGUUUGCUGAAGGGAUAGCAAAAGCUACUAAGUACAAUGCAGCUGCAUUUAUGCCUUUUGGAUUGGGAUCUCGAUCUUGCGUUGGCAUGAGCUUUGCAAUCACUGAAGCGAAAACUGCACUUUCCAUGAUUCUGCAACGCUACACUGUCACCGUCUCCCCUACCUACGUUCACGCUCCUGUACCAAGUCUUACACUCAAGCCACAACAUGGGAUGCAGUUGUUGUUUCAUUCACUACAUUAUGAUGCUUAAAAUUCUAGGCUGUUGGUCUCCAAUAUAGUAAUAUAUAAUAAAAUGUGGAUGAUACUGUAUUUUGCAACCAUACGAUGAUAUAUGGUUUGGGGAUUUCAUGUUUUGGCAACAGGAUUAUAUGCUUUUUUUUUUUUUUGUUGAUAUUGUUAAAGGUUAAAAGGGUAUUACAGCAAACAUCGCCACCGCAGGAGCAGGCCCUACAGUCCUGUGAAUAACAUAAUUAGGUGUCUUUCUUCCAUUACUACUGCAGUAGUGAGGUUUUUAUUCCACUUAGUUCCAUUCUUCCGGAGUGUCUGCUUGAAACACACACUCCUGGAGCCGGCCAUUACAUUGCUUGUUUAGCUUUCAUGGAAGGCUCGAAGCUCAUUAGACCAGAAACAUUGUUCCUUUGCCUAUGUAUCUUUUUGACAUAUUCUCUUAAGGAAGAGCUACUUAUAUCAAGGCUCCAUCUUUCUGAGUUGCAAGGCAAAAGUCCGUUCUCCAUGAAAAACCUACCCAUUUCCACUAAGUCCCCGUUCUCCUUUGCUUCUCAGAUGACUUUUGCAAUAAAAAGUCCUUUUCCCUUAAAAGCAAUGGAGAAUAGACACCAUUUUAGAAUAAUUUUUAGCUUAAAAAAAGUAUUUUUUGGUAGAUGGAGAAGUUGAAAAUUUUAACUUUUCUUCAGCCAAAAGUGAUUUUGGGUGAUAAUUUCCUUUUUUAACCUAUCUUCUCCCAAAAAAGUUUUUUUCUCUGGUUCUUUGGAGCUAAACCUAUACCCAUUUUUUUCACAUUUUCUCUUUCAAAGUUCUUUCUUCUGGUUCUUUAUUCCUCUUCUGCCGGUGAGUUUCUUUUCUUCUUCUUCUUCUCUUUAAUUAUUCAUUAUACUUUAGUUUUUAGUUGUUUUCUGAUUGUUUGAUUUUUAUAGAAAUUUUACAGAAAUUAAUUGACUGAUUUUACAGAAAUUCUAUCUCCUUAAAAUCAUUUUAGAAAGUUUCAGAAGAUUACAGGAAACAAAGAAGCAAAAGAAACACAAAGCAAAAUAUUAUUAUUAGUAAUGCAUGCGAUUAGAAUCAUGAAAAGUAACUCUUCCAAAAGAAAAAAAAAGAGGGAAAAUUCUGGCUUAGUUGUAUGGUCAAAGCAAAAAAAAAAAAAAAAAUCCCCCAAAACUUCAAAGGAGUGUCAAACAUGAACUCUGAGAUGUGUAGGCCCUACCAUUUAAAAGUUCAAACAGGAAUCUUUGUUGACUUGGUUGGGACUUAAACAAACUAAAAGAUUCAAGUUAUGUUGCUUACAUUGAUUCUUUGAGUCAUUGUAAGCAUGGAGAUAAUCACUGAUCAAAUAAGGAGGCAUAAAUAGCACUUACGGUGUCAUUGUUGCCUCUUUUGCUUUACUGCUUUGCUCUGUUUUGUGCCUCUGCUGCUUUGCUCUGCUUUGCUUUACUGAUUGUUAGAUACCCAGGAGUGUUUAGAGUUAAACCUACAGGCCCAAACUAUUUUAGUUGAUGAAAAUAAAAGAAAUAUAGACUAAAUAUUUGAAUAUUUAAUAGAUUAAAUACUGAUUGUUUUACUGAUUAAAUACUAUUUUAGAGUUUACUGAUUACUUUACUGAUUGCUAGAUCCCCAAGAGUGCAUAUCAAUUUGGUUGCCGAUACAUAUUACGCUCUAUUCACUUCUAUAUGAUAGAUUGAAUAUUUAAAGGAGAGAAUAAUACUAAACUUAACUAUAGACUUUAAGUGCAUAUUGAGAGGAGACUGCUAUAAACAUGCAUUAGAGGUUGAUUAGAAAAAUAGAGCAAUUUUGAGUAAUGGAGAUCUAAGUCACAUAGAGAAUUCAAUUAAUAAUAGAUGAAGAGAGUUAUGGACCUGCUAAACUGUUAGGAUUGUCUUCAGAUCACUGAACCACCAAGCAAUUCUUAUUGAUCUUAUACCUGAAAAGACAUUAAUGAGUUCCAACCUGUCUCUACAGGCACAAGUAUGAACAAAUACAAAAAAAAAAAGGAAAAAAAAAAGGAAUUUUAAUUUAUACCAAUGCAUGCUGGGAAAUAUAUGCCUUCAUUCAAUAUAAGAGCUAAUAUACACAACCACUGCCUACAACUAUAUGCAUGGUCAAGCAAAUACUUUAUCAGUAUACAUACAUAGGCCCUAACAAUUUGAAGGCCAUACAUGCUAUAACCCACAUGCAGAGUGUUGUUCAUCACAAAAAGGAAUGCAAAUAGUAAAGUUUAAUACCAAUUUUUAACCCUUUGAAAUGUCGGUAACAUAUCAACAAAAGUGAACCUUCAACAAAAAAGAUGCCACUAACCUCUCCACAAAAUAGGAUGCAAUAGAACCAGUAACAGCAUGUGCAGGAGCUAGCUUUCCAAGCUUUUCCUCCAAACCUGGAGUUGUAGCCUGUAAUAGAAUUAAAGUUCAACAAUACCAUUAUUCAUUGAUUAACAUCGAAAAUAACAACCUUAACAUAAGAAAAAUCAAUGAAAAAAUUCAAAGAUUGAUAAAUAAACUACAAACCUCCACUGCAGCUUUAGACCAAGCCCUUUGCUUUAUAUCCAUCAAGUUCAUCCCUACACCAUCAGUUGUAUCAAUACAAGCAUAAGCCCCUAAGAAUAGACAUGCCAUGAAAGAGCUAACAAGAGAGAUCCUCUCAGUGUCCUCAUAAGUUUCUUGUUGUGUCUCAAAUAUCUUCCGAAUUUGUGGUCCUGUAUAUCUCUCAUAAGCAUGAGAACCAGUAAUUUUAGACAACUCCAAUGCACCACUGACAGCUUUCUUUAUUUCUAUACACUGAGCAGUUGUGCUGCAGUCCAUCCAUAUCGGUGAUUCCUUCGGUUGCUUAUAGGCUUUAUAGGCUUACAAGAGUUAGUGUCUUAUAUGCUUAUUGUUGUCUUAACAUACCAAGGAGUUACUCUUCCUACAUUAAAAUGCCUGUAAAUCACAAGGAAAUGUUGUUGAUUGAUAAGUCAUUCAUUAUGCCUCUCGUUUGUUGUUACACUGCUAAUUUUUUAUGCUUUUGUUUUCUGUAAUGUGUAAGCUAUUAAAACUACAAUAAUAACGAACGCAAAAUGAUUGAAUGAAAUACUGUAAAUCACAGUAUGCUUUUUUUUUAUGCUUUAUCCUUAAGUUGUUUCCAUGCACUGCCCUGCUUUGUUUCCUUUCUACCAAUUGAUUUCAUGACAUAAAUGUACUAUAAAAAUUAGUAUAUAUGAGUGAACUCAUUUGAUUUAUUUAUUUGACGUUUCCAAUUUUCCAUAAAUAUCAGUAGUUGCAUUUGUCUCCAAGUACACUUUAGGUUUUUUCAAUUAUAAAUUCUUUAUUCUAUGGAUGAGAAUGGAUUUUUGAGUGAAUUUAUUGAUAAAAUCAGUAGUUAGUACAAUAUCUUUUGUAAAUGAUUGAUUUGGUUUAAUUUAUUUCCCCUUGACCUUUUUGUGAUUCAAGUGAUAGCUUUGCUCCUGCAGUUCUGUCUUUGGUUCUAAGGUUUCAUUUGUGAAUGUUAUUUGAAUCAAUUUAAUAUAGUAGUAUGGUAUUUUUGUGUUCUGUUGCAGGUUCUUUUCACCUACAAUAAACUACUUGACUUCAAAAGGGCACAAUCUUUACCUACCCUUGGUUCUUGGACUUGACAAAGUAAAUCCCAGGUUUGUGAGCUUAUUACGUUUCUUUCAUUGCUUCUGCCUUGGAUUCUGAAUAGUUGGAUAUAGUUAAUAUUUUGAUACACAUGUAAACAAAUAUACUUAUGUGACAUUUGAUUUUCUUGACUGCUUAACUGGCUGAAACGGAUCUAUUCGUAUACACAAUAGAUGAGUACUUCGGCAGUUGAAGUUAGUGGUGAAAAAGUAAAAGCAAUGUGGGAUAAGAGAUUGACAGAAAUAUUUUGUGAUAUUUGUAUUAAAGAGAUACUAAAAGACAAUAGGCCUGGUACUCAUUUCACAAAAGAUGGAUGGUUGAAAAUAAUGACCAACUUUGAGAAAGAAACGGGCAAGUGUUUUUCACAAAGACAACUUAAAAAUAGGUGAGAUGCCCUAAAAAAAGAAUGGAAAGCUUGGAAGAAACUUAAAGGCGACGAUAAUGGUCUAGGGUGGAAUCCUAUAAAAAGAACCGUUGAUGCAUAAGAUGAUUGGUGGGAGAGUAGGAUACAAGUACAUUGAUAAUUCUAAAUAUUUUUUGUUUUUUUUUCUUAUUUAUGAGGUUAUUGAUAAUUACUGUUAUUAAACUAUCAUUUUAUAUGUAGGUUGUGCCUGAAGCUCAAAAAUUUAGAACAUCGGGCAUUGAUCCUGAAUUCAAAGGGAAGUUGGACCAAAUGUUAAUGGGGAUAGUUGCAACAUGUGGUAAAGCAUGGGCACCAGGUGAUAAAGUAUGGGCACCUUCUUCUGGUACACUCCGUAGUGAUUUUUUUGAGGAUGUUAACAACGAAAUACCUAAAGAGAAUGAAGAAGAAAAUAUCAGAAAUGAUGUUCACAUUUUAAAUGAUGUUCACAUUUCAAAUGAUGUUCAAUUUGAUGGAAACGAUCAAAAAAGAAAAAAUCCUGAGAUAUCAAUGUUGACACCAUUUUUUUGAUAAAACGGGAUCGACUUAGGUUUUAGAAACGAAAACGAAAACGGAAGUCUCCACCAAUCCUUUUUGAUGAGGUGUGAUCGGGUCACCUCGUAAAGUGGUUGUUUUUAAUAAACAAUUUGAUUUUUAUGAAAAACAACGAUUUUGGUCCACGAAAUUCAGAAAAAUGGGUUUGGGAGUCGAUUACGUACGAGGAAGGAUUAGCACCCUCGUAACGCCCAAAAUUGGUACCUAGUUGAUUAAUUAAUGUCUUAGUGUCGAAGAUUGAAAAUUUUAAAGAAAUUUAAAAUACGAUCUUUUAUUGAAAUGUUGAAAAUUUUCGGGAAAGGCAUAUUUCACGUUAAUCGAGAAAGAGAAUUAUAUCCAAUAAGUUAGGACAUAAUGUCUUGAAUUUCUGAUACGCGAAUGAAUACCAAAAAUCUGCUUAUUUAAAAGAUAUUUAGCUAUCUCGGUUUCAAAAAAGAGAUCAUGCCCAGUAAGUUAAGACAAGAUCUUUUCUUAAUUCCCGAGAUCAUUUAAAACUUUGUUUGAAAUGAUUCGCGUAUUUAGAUUUAUCGAGAAAAUUGAAACCCCGUAAGUUAGGGUAUAAUUUUUCGAAUAUCAAAAUACGAAAAAUAAUUUUUGAUAUAUCGAGUAAAGUAAAACACGAUGUCGUAAAAAAUGCGAAAACAAAUUAUAUAGGAUACGCAUACGAAACAAUAAUGAAUAUGAAAGUGUAACAUAAUACGAAUGAUAGUGACAAAAACAUGAUAAAAAGGACGAAUCAAUAGCAUGCCAAAUAACUAGUGUAUAAGCAAAAUAAAAGUGAAAUAUUUUUAAAAUAAUAAUGAAAGCGUGAAUAAAUAGAUAAUAAUUGAAUUAUAAUUAUAAAAAAAAAGCAAUAGGAUAUAUGUAUAUGUAUAUGUAUAUGUAUAUGUAUAUGUAUAUGUAUAUGUAUAUAAAGUAUAAGAUAUAAUAAGGAAUAUGCAAGCAUGUAUAUAUAUAUAUGAAAAUUAAAAAUAUGUAUAUAAAGAUAUAUAGAUAAAUAAGAUAUAAAGUAUAUAGAUGUGAAAAUGAAAAAAUACGUAUAUAAAGAUAUAUAUAUAUAUAUAUAUAUAUAGUAUAGAAUAUAAUAAGUAUAUANNNNNNNNNNNNNNNNNNNNNNNNNNNNNNNNNNNNNNNNNNNNNNNNNNNNNNNNNNNNNNNNNNNNNNNNNNNNNNNNNNNNNNNNNNNNNNNNNNNNCAAAAGUAAAGAAUAUUCAAUUGAAAACACAGUGAAAAGCGGAAGGAAUAGGGUAGCAAUUAUACCCUAGUCACAAAACACGCGGAUCCUUCAGGUAAUGGGUCGGGUCACGCGUGGGUCGCGCGAAACGGCGCCGUUUUGGCGCUGAGGCCCCCAUGUGAAACAACGACGUUUUUCAUUUGGUAUAAAUGUUUAAAAAAACCCUAAAAAAUUAGAUUCAUCCCCUUUUUUUAAAAAAAAAAAUCAGAGAGCCAAAGCUCUCUCUCAAACCCCAAAUCUGUCCACAGUUGCCGGCUGUCCGUCCAUCGGACUGGCGCCGUGGCCGGUGGCCGACGACGGACCAAAUGUGCUUUUGAGCCCCGUUUUCGACGAUUUGAAGGCCAAUCCUUCUCAACCAAGAAGAAAACCGAAAGAAAAGACCCUCACCCCCUUUUAAGGCCGAUUUUGACGACGGAGAGAGGAUCCCCGACAACGUGGCCGCGGGACAUCUCAGGUGAGCCUUUAUUUUUCCUUUUUAUCUUUGUAGGUAGAAAUAAAAAUAAAUAAACAAAAAAAAAGUCAAGAACAAAAUAAAUAGAAAUAACAACCGAAAAUCACCUUUGAAGUUUUGUUUUUUUUAUUUAUUUUCUAAUAUGUCUGUAGUAAAAAAAAUACAUUGACUUGGUGAUGGCUUUUUCUAGCCGAAAUUGAUACAACAUUUUUUCUUUGUUUGUUGCUUGCGUUUUUGUUCUUUUCUUGCAGGUGAUUGACGGGCGCAAGUGGCAGAGGCGAUGAAGUGACCGUGGCGGUGGCGGCAGGUCAAGUGUGAGAAGACCCUAGGUGCGGCGCACCUAGGGUUAGGGUUUCCAGACCCUUUUUCUUGCUUUGGGCCGUGGGAAAUUGUGUUGGGUUGUAUUUGGGUCCGUUUGGGUUAGGGGUAGAUUUGGGCUUACUUUUGGUUUGGGUUAUUUUGUGUUUUAUUUGUUUGUAAUGGCCCCGGGUGAAAUUGGGCUUCUACAGCUGCCCCUCUUUGCUCGUUGUCGUGUAACAAGAACAGAGCAAAGACUAAGAAAGACCAAUUUCGCCCGGUCUCGUUAAUGCUCUAGUGCUUCUCUUCUUCAAGUAGCCUCCUUCUAAUCCACUGUGUCUUGUUGCUUUGAUCUACUCCACUGCACUUCAGAGAGAUACGACUUGCAGCUUCAAUCCACUCUGCUGCAACUUCAGGGGGACGAGAUUCGUGGUUUUAGUCUGCCCUACUGCAACGUCAGGGAGAUAAGACUUGAUGUUUCAACCUGCUCCACUGUGACUCUAGGGAGAUAAGGUCUUAAUAUGAUAAGAUCCAUUAUCAACAGUCUGCUCCACUACGACUUUAGGGAGAUAAGACUUGUAGUCGGUCUUCAAUUUGCUCCACUACUUCUUCAUGGAAAUAAGACUUAUAUCUUCAACCUGCUCCACCGCAACUUCGGGGAGAUAAGGUUUGCUAUCUUCAGUCUGCUCCACUGUAACUUCAAGGAGAUAAGACUCGUAAUGUCAACCUGCCCAACUGCAACUUCAGGGAGAUGAAGUUUGAUAUGAUCUACUCUACUAUAACUUCAGAGAGAUACGAUCAGUAAUUUAUAACUUCAAUCUGUUCCACUGCAACUUUAGGGAGAUAAGAUUCGUAAUUUCAACCUGCCUCACUGCAACUUCAGGGAGAUGAUGUUUGAUAUGAUCUGCUGUACUAUAAUUUUAGAGAGAUAAGAUAUGUAGUUUAUAGCUUCAAUCUGUUCCACUGCAACUUCAGGGAAAUAAGACUCGCUAUCUUUAGUCUGUUCCACUGCAACUUCAGGAAGAUAAGACUCGUAAUUUCUAAUAAAGUCCGAUGUGAUCCGUUCUACUGCAACUUCAGAGAGAUAAGAUUCAUCAUUUUGACCCGCUCCACUGCAACUUCAGGGAGAUAGGACUUAUAUCUUCUACUUGCCCUACUGGAACUUUAGGGGGAUAAUGUUAGUAACUUCAACCUGCUCUACUGCAAUUUUAGAGAGAUAAGGUUUGUUAUUUCAAUCUACUCUACUGCAACUUCAGAGAGACAGGGUUUGUAAUUUAUAGCUUCCAUCUAUUUCACUACAACUUCAAUGGAAUAAGACUUGCUAUCUUCAGUCUACUCUACUGCAUCCUCAGCAAGAUAGAACUUGUGGCUCCAAUAAAGUCUGAUGCGAUCUGUUCUACUACAACUUCAGAGAGAUAAGAUCCAUCAUUUUAACCUGCUCCACUGCAACUUCAGGGAGAUAAGGUUUGUUAUCUUCAACCUACUCCGCUACUACUCAGGGAGAUAAGACUAGUGAUUUCGAUCUGCUUCACUGUCAGUACAGGAAGACAAGAUCUACAACCUUCGACCUACUUCACUGCUACUCAGGGAGAUAAGACUAGUGGCUUAAAUUUGCUUCCCUACUACCUUGGGAAGAUAAGAUUCGCCGUCUUCGAUCUGCUCCACUACUGCUUAGGGAGAUAGGAUCUGUAAUUUUCAACCUACUCUGCUACUGCUUAGGGAGAUAAGGCUAGUGCUUUCGAUCUGCUUCACUGCCAGUACAGAAAGACGAGAUCUGCUACUCUUAGUCUACUCCGCUGCAAACUCAGAGAGGUCAGGCUUGUGUCUUCGAUCUGCUUCACUGCCAGUACAGGAAGACGAGAUCUGCUGCUUUUAGUCUGCUCCGCUGCAAACUCAGGAAGGUUAGGCUUGUGUCUUCAAUCUGCUUCGCUGCCAGUACAGGAAGAUGAGAUCUACUGCUUUUAGUUUGUUCUGCUGCAAACUCAGGGAGGUCAGGCUUGUGUUUUCGAUCUGCUUCGCUGUCGGUACAGAAAGACGAGAUCUGCUGCUUUUAGUCCAUUCCUCUGUAAUUUCUGAGAGAUAGGACUUGAUAUGACGACUUCAAUUCAUCUCACUGCAACUUCAGGGGUAUGGGAAACUUCAUUAAUAUGUUCUUUGGGGAACAUGACCUGUAAAGUCCAUUUUAUAAACCUAUUUAUGCCUAAUGAUUAGGAUGUUAUGAUCAGAACGAAUCAGAUUCUCCUAACUAGGUGUGUGUGAAUUAUAUUUGCAUGAAUGCAGAAUGUUAUGAGAAUGAUCCCUUUUUUAAUGUUAGGGUUGUCAUUGCUCGUUAUUCAUUAAGGCUCCAUUACCAACACGUCAGAAUGCCAUCUUGUUUGGCUGGUAGCACUCAUCUCUUACUUAAACGGAUUGCCCCCACUAUAAUCUUCAAAGUUCAAUCUGUUGUAAUCUUCAAGGCUAAGUCCACGGUAAUUUUUGGACAUAAAAUUUGAGCCAUCUUCCUUCCACUGAGUAAAAGAUCUGGCUCUUUCUCAAUCCUCUCCCACUGUAAUUCAGGGAUACAGGAUCUGAAUCUCUUUGGUCUCUUACACCAUUCUUAGGGUGUCGUACCAAAUAUUUAUGCACAAUUGUAGAACUUUCUCUUCUAAUAAACCUCUUUUUAUCACUCUGUGAUCAUUACUCAUUUGUUCAUUGAAGUUUUGUCACCAGCACGACAUUUUUCGUUUUGUUCAAUCUAUGCUUAGACAACAAAAUCCGAAGGGAUAGUCUUAAUUUAGACUUUUCCUUCUUAGACAUUUCACCCUUUAAACUUGGUGUACUCUAAACAAUAGUCAUGUUUCAGGUUCCUGUAUUGUUUAGAAGCUUUCAGAGUAAUAUGCAAAACUUCUUUUGCUUGAAUAUUAACAGCCCAUUAAUCUUUAUUUCAAUGGAAAAUGCUUGAAAAGAUUAUCACAAUGGGAAAGAUGAAAUUUUAUUGAGAGUAGAGCUCUAAACAAAUAAAUUAAUCAGGAUAGAAAAUUUUGCUAAGAUUCAAAAUGAAUAAGAUGAAAAGGAUUAUUACAAUGGAUAAGAUGGAAUUUUAUUGAGAACAAAGCUCGAAAUAAAUAAAUAAUCAAGAUAGCAAAUUUUUCUAAGAUACGAAAUGAAUAAGAUGAAAACAGGUGCCCCAGAUAUCACAGUAUGAGCUUUUCUGCAUAAGCUUCUUGAGGACCAUUUUGAACUUGAUAUGUGUCUAGAAGUCCUAAAAGACUUUGUUGAUGUCCCAAGAUGUAGCGUCUCACCUUCUUGCUAAUUUAGAGAGGACAAGGCCACCGCAUGUCCCACCUUUGAUCAAAAUUUAAACUGCCCAUUCCUGGGUUUUCAAUUCAAAACCCCUUUGGUCUCAAGGUGCCCUUUGUGGGUUUUCACCUUGGCCUCUCAUUCUUCUUUUCUUUUCUUUUUCCUUUCUUUUUUCUUUUCUUUUUUUUAACAUUCUUUGAUUGAAUUCGCCCUCGUAGGAUCAGGUAAGUCAUUGCUAUCCUUUCUAGUCGAAAUCAACACUUCUCCAGAUAAAGCCUUCAACAUAAGGUUCUUUUCAGUUUGAUAUCCUCUUUCUUCUAAAGUUCUUUUUGUAUGGAGAGGAUUUUCUUCGAUAUUAGGUCUCCUUCAUAGAAUUCUCUAGGGCGAACCUUCUUUGGUGAGCUCACGUCUUUUUUUUGUGGAUUUGACCAAGAUAGAUAACUUUGAACACUUCUCUUCAAUCGAGAUCUGAUCCAACACUCGAAGAGAAGGAAUCUUGACCUCAAUGAGCAAAACUACGAUGAGCCAAUGUGUUGCCCCGGCAGUAGUUUUUCCUCUCAUUUUUGUUUUGUUUUGUUUUUUAUUUUUGUUUUUUUUACUCCCACUGCGCCGUGCAUUUUGGGGCAAAAUGUGUUAAUCUUGAACAGACUGUAAACUUAUGACAUUGUGCUGUUGUUCAAUUUUAGUGCAUUGUUAGAUGUGCUUCUUUUUGGCAUUUCAAAUUGACACGUGAUUUUUCAAAAAUUCGCAGACUGUUGACCUUGCGACAUUGGCAUAUGAAGCAGCUUUUGCCUACUUAGUGAGGUAAUUGAUGACCAAAAAGAUAACCGUCAAAAACCUUAGGUAAGAUCAGCCUUAUGACAUUUGUGUCCCACGUAGAGAAAGGGCAUGGCUUCUAUUGAUUCUGUGUAAAAUAGAAUCUUGUUAUCUCGUUUUUAACAAAUCAGGAGAUAAGUUACAAUCUCAGUUAUCUCCAAAGGCUUGAGGUUUAAUCUGGACACAUAUCUUGCUCAAAAGGAGGUUCUGAAUCAAUAGUAGUGUUGCUCAUAUCAUUGAUAUUUAGAGACCUGUUAUAGGACGAAAGUAGAUCCAAAGAAUAAAAGAAUCUAAAAAUAUUUAUCUGUAUCGUAUGAUUAUGAAAUGGAAAAAAUAAAAGAAUAUUUGCCCGAAGUGAGAAACAAAGAUGCAUUUUAUUGAAAUAAAGAUGUUGGACAUAAGCCUAUCUCACAAAAGGAUUCUUAUUACCCCUAGGCUUAGAGAAAUAAGUGUGUUUUGGACAUUACUCCGAAUUAGGUCUAAAAUAUACAGGGAUCUCUUUCACAGUCCCACUAUUCAAAACACUUCCAAGUCUGUUCUUUUCACCAACCCCCUUCUUGGAUAUGAUGUUAAUGCUUUGAUAGCCGGCGAUUAUGACCCUCGGUUGGCCCACAGUGACCAAUUUGGGAUAUCUUUCAUUAUAUAUACUCAAGUUGCUUACUUCAUUUUCUUUGUUCUUUAGGGUUGAUCCUCUGACGCUUUCUCCCGUAUCUAUCUUCCCACUUCUUAUGGCAUUUUCACUCAUCUUGCCAGACAUUACCAUAUCUGAUAAGCUCAUGGUAGCGCUUCCCAACAUGUGGUUAAUGAAUGGGGCUUUCAAAGUGUUGACGAAAAGCAUCGUGGUUUCUUUUUCUAGAAAAGGUGGUUGGACUUAUGUCGCUACCUCUCUCCAUCUUUGGGCAUAUUGCCUGAAGCUCUCACUUUGCUUCUUUUCCAAGUUCUGUAGUGUAAUUCUGUCAGGUGCCAUGUCUGUCACGUAACCAUACUGCUUCAUGAAAGCUCGUGCCAAGUCUUUCCAUGAGUGGAUAUUGGCACGGCUCAACUGGUUGUACCAUUUUACAGCUGACCCGAUCAGACUAUCUUGGAAGUAAUGAAUUAACAGUUGAUCGUUAUCAAUGUAUCCUAUCAUUUUUCGACAGAACAUCGUGAUGUGAGCUUCGAGACAACUGGUCCCAUUAUACUUUUCAAAUUCUAAAGUCUUGAAUUUCGGUGGGAGUACUAAAUCUGGGACCAAACUUAAAUCCUUGGCAUCAACCCCGCAAUGGUAAUCAACAUUCUCCAUUGCUUUUAGUUUUUCUUCCAACCACCUAUACCGAUCUUCGAGUUGCUUUGGUAGUUCUACCCUUACUUCUGCCAUUUCGUCUAACUCAGGAAUAACAAGAUUGGUUGGAUCAUUCUUUGGAUUAGAACCUGAGCCUGUCGGAUAGUUCAUUAGCGCCGAGGUACCGGCCUGAUAUCGUUGGGGUCUGUUAGUAGUGGGUGCCCCUUGUAGAUGCGCGUCGGGUUGGGCCUGGACGCCUAUUGGGGUGAAACCUGGGAGAUAGGCAGGGUCUUCAUAUUUAUCCCCAGAAUUGGCUACAGGGUUUUUCUUUUUAUCUCUAGCUGAGAGCUGUGCUAAUUGGCUCAUCAAGCUCCUUUGGGAUUUUUGCAUGUCUUGUUGGAUAUUUUCUAGUUGUUCUUGCAUCUGGGCUUGCACCUGUUCUUACAAUUGCUCUAAUCUCUCUAGUCUCUGAUCUAUUCCUUUAGUUUUUGCUCAGAUACUGUAAGGGUGUUGGUUUUCCAGAUUAGCUGAAAUAAUUUUACUCAAUUAGGGUCUUUUAAUGGUCCUUAAUGCACAUGAUGCCAUGUAAUGCGAAUGCAUGAAUGCAAAAAAGACGUUGACUCUGAUUUAAUUCUAUUUAAAAAACUUUACUAAAAAACAAAUUCCUUUACAUAAAGCGAAUGCAUGUAUGGCCUCGCCCUCAUAUUCCAAGAAACAACAUUGGUCUUCUUCUUUAUCUGAAUGUUUAAGAUAAAUAUUGCAAAUUUCCAAUGGAUGCCACUACUAACUCCUUCUUGCUUGAUUCUGGUUGUGAUCCAUCGUCUGCCCAUCCUCGUAAUGCUCAUCAGCUUCUUUAAGGAAGUCAGAAUGUCGGUGACUCUCAAAUAAUUAGCUUGAAUUUUUGGGCCACGAAGUAAAAUGAUGUACUCUUCCAUCACCUUUCUUUUGUCGUGUUUCUUGGAAUGUAUUCGGGCAGCCAUAUUAUCUUCCGCUUUAUCAAGAAAUCCGUUUUCCAUGACAAACUUUCUAAUUUAGUAAUCAAACUUGAAUCAACACCUUUUUCUAAGAUGAAAAUGCAAUGCAAUCAUAACCAAAACAAAACGAAACAGGUUAGUACAAAGCAAAAGCAAACAAGAAAGAUAGAGUACCUAUUCGGGUAUCCACUAAAGGUUUGGAGUGGCUCUACCUAGGUAGAUUCUUAUGGCUCACUACAUGUGGUUCGAUUCUAAAGUAAAGGUACCUGAACCAACAGAUUCCUCAAUCCUCACCUAUUAUAGGCUCAUACGGACUGAGUUCAGUUCAGGGGAAUACAUUUCCCUAUGGCCAUGUGGAGAUGAAAAUCUCACGAAGACAUAGGUACAGAUGUAUCCCGGAAGCGAUUCACUAUCCCAUGCGAAGGUGAAAACCUCACGAAGGCGUAGUUUCUCACUCCCACUUAAAAGGGUGUGACCAACGGUCAUGCAAUGCAAUGUGCAGAAAUAUAUAUCUAAACUCAAAAUAACACAGUAUUUAUAAAACCACAAUGAUGAAGAUCGUAAUAAAGAUGAAUGAAAUACAAUGAAAGGAUAGUAAAUUUAAAUCAAAUUCAAUUUUUGACAAAAAGACAGAAAGUAAUCAACACGUGGCUUGACUCUCUUAUUUUGGAUCCCCAGUGGAGUCGCCAAGCUGUUGACACCAUUUUUUUGAUAAAACGGGGUCGACUUGGGUUUUAGAAACAAAAACGGGAGUCGCCACCAAUCCUUUUUGAUGAGGUGUGAUCGGGUCACCUCGUAAAGUGGUUGUUUUUAAUAAAUAAUUUGAUUUUUAUGAAAACAAUGAUUUUGGUCCACGAAAUUCAGAAAAAUGGGUUCGGGAGUCGAUUACGUCGAGGAAGGAUUAGCACCCUCGUAACGCCCAAAAUUGGUACCUAGUUGAUUAAUUAAUGUCUUAGUGUCGAAGAUUGAAAAUUUUAAAGAAAUUUAAAAUACGAUCUUUUAUUGAAAUGUUGAAAAUUUUCGGGAAAGGCAUAUUUCACGUUGAUCGAGAAAGAGAAUUAUAUCCAAUAAGUUAGGACACAAUGUCUUGAAUUUCUGAUACGUGAAUGAAUACCAAAAAUUUGCUUAUUUAAAAGAUAUUUAGCUAUCUCGGUUUUAAAAAAGAGAUCAUGCCCAGUAAGUUAAGACACGAUCUUUUCUUAAUUCCCGAGAUCAUUUAAAAAUUUGUUUGAAAUGAUUCGCGUAUUUAGAUUUAUCGAGAAAAUUGAAACCCCGUAAGUUAGGGUACGAUUUUUCGAAUAUCAAAAUACAAAAAAAAAAUUUUGAUAUAUCGAGUAAAGUAAAACACGAUGUCGUAAAAAAUGCGAAAACAAAUUAUAUAGGAUACGCAUACGAAACAAUAAUAAAUACGAAAGUGUAACAUAAUACGAAUGAUAGUGACAAAAACAGGAUAAAAAAGGACGAAUCAAUAGCAUGCCAAAUAACGAGUGUAUAAGCAAAAUAAAAGUGAAACAUUUUUAAAAUAAUAAUGAAAGCGUGAAUAAAUAGAUAAUAAUUGAAUUAUAAUUAUAAAAAAAGCAAUAGGAUAUAUGUAUAUGUAUAUAAAGUAUAAGAUAUAAUAAGGAAUAUGCAAGCAUGUAUAUAUAUAUAUAUAUAUAUGAAAAUUAAAAAUAUGUAUAUAAAGAUAUAUAGAUAAAUAAGAUAUAAAGUAUAUAGAUGUGAAAAUGAAAAAAUACGUACAUAAAGAUAUAUAUAUAUAUAUGAUAAGAUAUAAAGUAUAUAUAUAUAAAAAAAAUUAUAGACGUAUAUAUAUAUAUUAUAAAAAUGUAUGAUGGAUAUGGAUAUAUAUGUAUGUAUAACAAAACGUAUGUGUGUGUAUAUAUAUAUAGAUAACAAAAAUUUGAAAUUAAAAGGACAUAGUUGAGUAAAUAGUAAUAAUAAUAUUUAUAAUAAUAUAAUAUAAUAGUAAUAAUAAUAUGUAAAAUGAUCAAUUUAACAAUAAAUAACUAAAAUACCAAAUAAAGGGCUAGAUUAAAAACUAGGCUAGAAUAUGGGGUCAAAUCGCUAAUAAAAUAAAAGAGGGGACCUUCAUGAACGCGCACAUAACAUGGAGGGACUAAAAUGGAAAUUUUUCCUUCUCCUCCAAAACGCAUCGUUCCGGGAGGGACCGAAUUAAAAACGCAAAGAAAAAUGGGGUAAAAUUGCAAAAGUAAAGAAUAUUCAAUUGAAAACACAGAGAAAAGCAGAAGGACUAGGGUAGCAAUUAUACCCUAGUCACAAAACACACGGAUCCUCCAAGUAAUGGGUCGGGUCACACCCGGGUCGCGCGAAACGGCGCCGUUUUGGCGCUGAGGCCCCCAUGUGAAACAACGACGUUUUUCAUUUGGUAUAAAUGUUUAAAAAAACCCUAAAAAAUUAGAUUCAUCCCCCUUUUUUUAAAAAAAUUUCAAAGAGCCAAAGCUCUCUCUUAAACCCCAAAUCAGUCCAUGGUUGCCGGCCGUCCGUCCAUCGGACUGGCGCCGUGGCCGGUGGCCGAUGACGGACCAAAUGUGCUUUUGAGCCCCAUUUUCGACGAUUUGAAGGCCAAUCCUUCUCAACCAAGAAGAAAGCCGAAAGAAAAGACCCUCACCCACCUUUUAAGGCUGAUUUCGACGACGGAGAGAGAAUCUCCGACGACGUGGCCGCGGGACAUCUCAGGUGAGCCUUUCUUUUUCCUUUUUAUCUUUGUAGGUAGAAAUAAAAAUAAAUAAACAAAAAAAACUAAAGAACAAAAUAAAUAGAAAUAACAACCGAAAAUCACCUUUGAAGUUUUGUUUUUUUUUUUUUCUAAUAUGUCUAUAGUAAAAAAAAUACAUUGACUUGGUGAUGGCUUUUUCUAGCCGAAAUUGAUACAACAUUUUUUCUUUGUUUGCUGCUUGCGUUUUUGUUCUUUUCUUGCAGGUGAUUGACGGGCGCAAGUGGCAGAGACGGUGAAGUGACCGUGGCGGUGGCGGCAGGUCAAGGGUCAGAAGACCCUAGGUGCGGCGCACCUAGGGUUAGGGUUUCCAGACCCUUUUUCUUGCUUUGGGCCAUUUGGGCCGUGGGAAAUUGUGUUGGGUUGUAUUUGGGUCCGUUUGGGUUAGGGGUAGAUUUGGGCUUAUUUUAGGUUUGAGUUAUUUUGUGUUUUAUUUGUUUGUAAUGGGCCCGGGUGAAAUUGGGCUUCUACAAUCAAGUUCACAUUUUAAAACUAGAAGAAAGAAAUCCUCAAAGCACAUUAGAGGGGCUGCAAGAUUGUCCAGUCAAAUAGACAAAUUAUGCAAUGCAGCUGACAAUAUGAGUCAAGCCACAUCUAGUUUGACUCCUAUUAUGGAUCCAUAUGGUAUUCCACAAGCAGAUAAAAUGCUUGACAACAUGUCGAAAGAAGUUCCAAAAGCUAGUCCGCUAUACUUUUUCGCACUUAAAUUAUUGCUCAAGAAGGACAAGUGAAUUAUGUUUUUAUCAAUUAAUCCCAAGAUUAGAGCUUUGUGGCUUAAGACGGAAAUGGAGGAUAGUUGAAAAUUUUCUGAUCUUCUAGGGUUCAGAGAUAUCUAUUAUGUGACUAAACAACAAUGCUAAACUAGUUUUAUCAAUAGUUAUUUAUGUUUGGUUUUUGGAUAUUGAAUUUAUGUUCUACUUAUUUAUAUGUAAUCUAGUUUUAUCAAUGGUCGUUUAUGUUUGGUUUUUGGAUAUUGAAUUUAUGUUCUACUUAUUUAUGUAUAAUCUAGUUUUAUUAAUAGUUGUUUAUGUUUGGUCUUUGGAUAUUGAAUUUAUGUUCUACUUAUUUAUACUAAAUUAGUUUUAUCAAUAGUUGUUUAUAUAUGAUUUUGGAUAUAAAAUUUAUUCAUAGGUGAUAAGUAUAGUUAAGGAUUACAGCGGUGAUGAAAGUGAUGAUGAAAGGGAAAAGAAAGAGAUUUUACAACGCAUGGAAUGUUUUAACCAAUUAUUUGUUGUUGCAUCUUAUUCCUUGCAAUUAUAUUACGAGAAGUAUAUAUUGAGGCAACCAUGCAUGGAUUCUAAACAGUCAGGUGAGACAUGGAUCCGAGAGAUUCUUGACUGUCACAAAUCACGUUGUAUGAUUAAUUCACUACACCAAAACAGGAUUUUAGCGGCACUUUUAGUGGCGCUUGAACAAAAAAUGCUGGUAAAAAUCAAGCAUUAGCAGCGCUUUAUGGAAAUCGCCACUAAAAACCAAAGCCCAACGGUGUCGUUUUCUUACCUUUCGGGGCUUUAGCGGGUUUUUUGAAAAUGCGUCGCUAAUGCUCGGUGUUUUAGCGGCGUUUUUUAAAAGCGCCGCUAAUGCUAGGGCCUUUAGCGGCGUUUUUGAAAAAGCGCGGCUAAAAACAUUUUAUCUUAUUUGGUUUAUUUAUAUAAUUAAAUAAGAUUAAAUUUAAAUCUAAUUGAAUAUUUAAAAUCUUCAAAAAAAAUAAUGACACGUAGAAAUAAUUUGAAAUAAAAUAUCUGGAAAAAUUAAAAUACUAUUAUUUAAAAUAAUUUUAAAUUUUUUGGGUACAUGAUUACUGAUUUUUUUUAAUUUAUAUAUUAAAAAAUUUCUUAUAUAAUCGUAAAAGAGAUGGUAUUAAUUUUAAAAUAUUGAAUUAAUUAUCACUAUAGUUUAGGGUUUUUGGUUCAGGGUAUAUGAUUUAUUUAAAAUUUAAGGCCAGUUUAAAAGUUACUAUUUUAAGGUUUAGGGAGUAUGGAUUUAGGAAUUAUGGAUUAGGGAUUAUGGUUUAGGGGUUGGGGUUUAAGGUGUAGGGGUUAGGAAUUUAGAGGUUUAGGAGUUAGACGUUAGGGGUUGAGAGUUAAGGAUUCAAGGUUUAGGGAUUUAGGGGCCAAGUUAGGGGUUUGUGUUUAGAUUAAUUUUUUUAAUUUAUAUUUUAAAUAUGUUCUUAUAUAAUUGUAAAAGAGAUAAUAAAUUUGUUUAGGGUUUUUAGUUUAGGGUAUAUGAUUAAUUUAAGAUUUAAGGCCGGUUUAGGAGUUCAUAUUUUAAGGUUUAGGGAGUAUGAAUUUAGAGAUUAUGAAUUAGGGAUUAUGGUUUAAGGGUUUGGAUUUAAGGUUUAGGGGUUAGGGGUUUAAGGGUUAGACGUUAGGGGUUAAGAGUUAGGGAUUUAAGGUUUAGGGAUUCAAGGGUCGAGUUAAUGUUUUGGGUUUAGAUUAAUUUUUUUAAUUUAUAUUUUAAAUAUGUUAUUAUAUAAUUUUAAAAGAGAUAAUAAUAAAUUAAAUAUAUUGAAAUUAUGAGUGUAGUUUAAAUUAUUUAAGAGAUAUAUAAUAGAUAGAUUUUAUAUGUAUUGAAUGGUUAAUUUAGGGUUUAAGGUUAAUGUUUACUUGAGAUUUGUUAAAUGAUAAAAUUUUAUAUAAUUAAUUAAUACUUUUAUAUUUAAAAAAAUUUAAUUUAAACCAUUUGAUAUAUUUAAAUAUUAGUUUAAAUAGAAUUAAUAAAUAAAUUAAAAAAAUAAUAGAUUGAUAUGGAUAUUUAGGUACAAUUAUUUAUUUUGGAGAGGAUCAAAUUAUAAAAAAUAAAAUUAAAAUACAAAAAUAAAAUAAUUUUGUUCAAAAUGAAAAUUUUUUACACACUUUUUAUAAAAACACCGCAAAAAAUAAAUAAUAGCCCCAAAAUUUAACUUUAAAAAUGCUACAAAAAUUAUUUCACUUUAAAAAAUCGCGCCAUUUUACCCCAAAUUUCCCCCUGAAAUCCCUAAUCUUCCCAUGUCCGACAAUAUUUUCUCAGCUGCCACACUCCAACAAAUACUCUGCACUCCCAUGGCUGAAAUAACAACCCAAAACCUUUUUAUUACAGCGCCAACAAAGCUUUGCUCUUUAUCCAUCUAUCAAAGAACACACUACUCUGCAUCAUACACUGACGAAAAGAAAAAAUAUGGGUUUUGAGAAGGGAGCUUCAUUGUUGGAAGAUUUGGUAGAAAAAGCUGGAGGCUGUGCUGUGAUGGAUGGGGGUUUUGCUACUCAGCUUGAGAGUCAUGGUGCUUCCAUUAAUGACCCACUUUGGAGCGCUCUUUGCUUGAUCAAAGACCCUCACCUUAUCAAGCAGGUACCUUUCGGUCUUCUUUCUCAUUCAGCUUUGUUGGAAAAUAUGUACAUUGCUGUCCUGCAAAUGACUCCAUGUCAAAAACAGGGUAUAAAGUUUGAGACUUGGUUUUAGAUUUUGAAUCAACGUGGAGUGUUCAUAUGUGCAGGUUCAUUUGGAGCAUUUGGAGGCUGGUGCAGAUAUCUUAGUUACUUCAUCUUACUAGGUUUGUUUAUUAGUGUUUUUCAGAUUCAGCCGAAUGACUUGAUUUGUUAGGCUAAUGUGUGAUCUUCUGCCUUUCAUAUAUUCACAAUAUGGAUAUGGUGAAAAGGAUAGGAGCUAAAUGCUUCCUUUUUCUAUGCAAUAGGUCCACCACUUUCUUGUGAAAAGUCAUGGAAAAUAUUCUGAUUUUUCCCUAAGUUUGGCUUAUUAAUGAACCAGACGGAAAAUAAUGUAGUUAUCAUCUAUAUAUGUUCAUCUGCAAUGAUUGAUUCCUUGGAAACAAUCAACAUAUCUUUGUAGAAACUUGCCUACCUUCAUAUUAGGAAGAGUAAUUUAUUUGAGAUUGUAUGGUAAAUGAUAAACCCAAUUUUAAUUACAAUUAUUCACACAUUCCAGAUUUUUUAAUUGAUUUGAAUCGAGCAAUUAGACAUAAAAGAGUAAUAUGGAUUUAAAAAAGAAGAAGCAAAUAUUGCAAUGAUAGUGUUUUCAUAUUUAAUAUUAUUUAUAAUUUUUUAAAAUAAGUUAAUCCUAGAAUAAAACUAUAAACCUCAUGUAUAAUGGUACCUGAACCUAAAUCAUCAAAGACCCAAUCUUAAGCAGCAGCUCAAAACUCGACAGAGGCUAAGGAUGAUGCUGCCUCUGGAGAGGUUGCACAAGCUGAAUAAGGAUGGUGGAGUUAAUAAUGCCACAGGAGCAGCAGUUGGUAGAGGCUUUAUACGGGAUUCAUCGGGCUGCUGGGUUAUGGGGUACAGUUGGAGUAUUGGUUGCUGCUUGAUGUUGCUAGCUGAGCAUUGAGAGCUAUAUGACGGCUUGUCUGUGCCUUGAGAUGCGGGUAUUCGGUGCUGGUGGUGGAAUCUGAUAGUCGGGCUGCGGUGGACCUUGUCACGGAUGUUACCAGGAAGGAGAUGUUGGAGCUCGUAAUGGCUGUUCGUGGCCUUUUGUCUUAGUCGUGGUGGGUAUUGGUGCGUCAUGUUCUGCGAGGUGCAAAUGCGGCAGCGGAUUUUGUCACCAAGCUCGCUAGGGAUUGCCCAUUGGGUUUGCAGCUGGUUCGGCACCCUCCUCCAUUUGUCAAACUCAUGGUUGAAUGGGAAGAGUAGGCCACCUAUUGUCAAUGACUGUUAACUUUGGUUGGCUUUUAGCCUAGGUUCAUUUUUGUUUUCAAAAAAAAAAAAAUUCAAUCUCAAUUUUAUCAUUCAAUCAAAAUCUUUAUAUAUAUAUAUGUAUAUAUUUUAUAGAUAUUUUUUUUACAUAAACUUUUUUUUAUCUACGUUUGUGGAUAUACAACAAUAAAAACCUGAUACUUUUUGAGCAUGCUUGUUAAGAUUCCAAUUGUGUAAGGAACCGAGAAGGGCCAGUGCAAAGUACAGGUGAAAGGAUUUCGGUCUGGUCCCAACUAGUUCGGGGUGGGUUAAACUCAAUACUGAUGGUACUGUUUCUGUAGGUGGUCUUAAGUCCGGGGUUGCUGGUUUGAUUAGGAAUGCGUUGGGAAAUGGGAAGUUGGCUAUAACAGAUUCAUUGGUGUGAGCAACGUUCUUGAAGUAGAACUGCAUGUUGUUUUGAAUGGCUUGAAGAUUGCCUGGGACAAAGGCUUUUAGCAAAUACUGUUGGAAUGUGAUAACCUUCAUAUUAUUAGCUCCUCUUAUUGGUCGAGGCAAUGAUGCAUUUAGCAAAGUUGAGGAAUUAAGUAGAACGAACUGGGUAGUGCAUGUUUCGUAUAUUGGAAGGAUGGUAAUGUGGCUAAAAUAGCUCUAACAGAUAGACCUGGGUUGCAAGUACCUUUAGACCCUUUUUCUGUUGUUCUUGACGUGUGGAGUGAUGAUGUUUCAGGCCUCUCUAGCUAUACAAAUGCUCAACACUUUUCCUUUGUAUUUUGUUGGCUUCACUACACCAAAACAGGCUUUUAGAAGCAGGUCCAGGUUUGCUAGCCUUUGAGACCAUUCCCAAUAAACUUGAAGCUCAGGUUUGUUCUUCCUCAUGUAUACUUUACAUGUAGGAAGUUACAUUCUUCAUUAGCUUUUCAAGUUUCUAGUGAUCACUGAUCCAUUCGUAAUCAAAGCCGAGCAGGGACGAGUGGCGCAUGUAUAAUGCACACUGGCUGCAAAGGUUAAUUAGCAAUCGUUGUGGUUCUUCUGCCUUUUGCGCCUCUCCCUUUUUUUUUGUUUUUUGGCUUUCUUGGUUCUCAGUUUCUCAAUUCUAUCCACAGUUGUAUGGGGAAACCAAAGCACUACCGACCUCCUGCAAGUUCUUUCGAACUUUAUUGCUUUCAAAUUGGCGGUUUAGAUUUUCAAAUUUGACUUAUUGUAAGGAUUUUUUGCUCAUAAUUUAUGGUGAAAUUUUACAGGGAAAGAAAAAGGAAGGAAAUGCUGCGAGAUAUGUGACGAGGUCACAAGCUAUUAAAAUCCUUCAAGUUAGCCUUUCGGAUUUUAGGUUCAUCUCUUCUUUCUCACUUUUAUUAAUUAUUAUUAUUUAAGCUUCCUUUAUUUGCCUUCUUUUAUCAUUUUUUUCAUGUUGUUUUUAGCUUCGAAGAUUAAUUAGCUAAUAAUUUGAAACUAUUGAGCUUCGUUAAGCUGAGAUUAGUUCAUCAAGUAGCAGUUAAUUGCUACUUUUGCUAACUGUUUUUUGCUCACUGAAGCAAAGAGAAGAAGUGUGUAUGGAAAAUAUUCUUAUUGCUAGCUUUUUACUUCAGCAUGAGUUUAUGACUAUGUUUUAAUUGAUAUGAUUUUGUUAUUAUUAUUAUUAUAAAAAAUCGAGGAUUUUAGUAAGAAAACAUAUAAAAAAAAAGCCUCAACCAAAUGAAACGCGUAUUGAUGGGGUUUGUUAUUUUUUAUUAAAUAUGGUUGGCUUCCUUUUUGCUUUAAUGGAUUUAAUACUGCAGGAAACUAUGCAUCCACAAAAGAGUAUUUCCGAGAGAGCCAAAGAAGAAAGUGAAAGGAAAUCAUCAUACUUACUGUCACUUGAAGGAUGUCAUGUACAUUCUUCAUGAUCCACUACUUGAGAAGUUUAGAGAAAUAAGGGCAUAUCAAAGGAAGAUAAAGAAAGCUAAGGCUAAAAAGAAGGAUGAGUUAGCAAAGCUUCUUCUAUCUCGUGCACCUUCUUACAGACUUGAUAUGGUCAUCCGCGAUAGGUUUGUGAAACAAUCUUUGUAUGUUUUAUUUCCUCUCGUUGCUAGUUGUAUCAAAUCUGUAAAACUUUUGUAUUAAAACUUUUAUAGUAAGCAGCAACAUAACUAAAUCACCUUAUGCUGAUAAUGAGAAGAUUUAUUGUUCCUAUUCCCUUGGCUCCAAUUUUUUUGGUUCAAAACUUGAUGUCUAAGUGCAUGCUUGAGUAUUUGGUAAUCAAUCCUGUGAAAUAGUUUCUAGUUAAGGUGGCAUAGAAGCAUAUAGUCCAGGCAUAGUCUGCUCUUACAAUUUAUGAUUGUUUUUUGGUUUCUCCUCUCCACAAACUGUCUAAUGUAGUUGGCAGAAUGAGAUGAUGUUAUUUAUGCCUAUACAUGCAUUUCUCUGUGGAUGGGUAACUUAUAUCUUUGAUUUGAGGCAUAGUUUGAUGACAGCAUAACUUAUUGCUGAAGUUAUACAGCCACGUUGUUUGCAUGCUGAUGACCAGUUUUGACAUUUAAGAUUUCAGCAUAACAUAAUUGUUUGUUAUAUAAUUUUUGUUUUAGCCUUAAUGGCUAUAUAUAAUUUUUAUUUUUAACAUCUCUAUUGUUUAUCAAGUUUGUCGGUUUAUCUGUUCAUUUGGUUUUGCAUCCUUUAGAUAUUGAAGGUGUUGUAGAGGAUUCAAUCUCUUCAAGCUGGAAAAGCCAAGGCUUAGCACUUCUUCAAGUGGAGUGUUUUUUAAUUUUUCAUUCCAUGGUCGUUUAUCUUAGUCGGAACUUGAAUUUGGUGUUAUUGAAACAGGGUUUUGUAGUUACCUUGUGUACUAGCUUCUUUAACCAUGAUUGUUAAUCAUUACGAGUUUUGUAAUUUCUUUUAUAUUUGGCCGAGUUAAUAGAGAUCAGAUGAGCUGUGAGGUAGAUUGCUCAUUUAUUUAAACAUAAUAUUUUAAUUCUAAAUUUAAAUUCAUUAAUUUUUAUAUUUAGCUUUAAAGUUAAAAUUUUAAUAGAAAUUUUAAUUUAAUUAAUUUUUUUAUCCUUAAAAGUAUAUAGUUUAAAGUUUAAAUUUCAAAAAUAAAAUAAAAUAUAAUAUUUAUCAUAGGAAUAAAUAUUAUUUAAUUAAAAUAUAUUUUUUAAAAUUCAUAUUUUUAGCGGCGUUUGUGAAAAAGCGCCGCUAAAAUUCAUUCUUUAUAGCGAUGUUUGUGGUAGAAGCGCAGUUAAAGGUCAUGGUCUUUAGCGGCAUUUUUGGUAGAAGCAUCGCUAAAGGUCAUGAUCUUUAGCGGCGUUUGUGGUAGAAGCGUUACUAAACGUCAUAAUCUUUAGCGGCGUUUGUGAUAGAAGUGCCACUAAAGGCCAUGAUCAUUAGCGGCGUUUUUUCACAUAAACGUCGCUAAAGUUAGCGACGUUGUCUACAGCGACACUUUUUGCGGUGCUUAUUAAAGCGCCGCUAAAAGUUUAUUUUGCUGUAGUGAUUUUAGGAUGUCUAAAAUGGUAUUCCCAAGUUUGUUGAGAGUUUUGGAGACAAUAUACAACUUGCAAACUUCAAGAAACAUAUCUUCUAGUGAAAUGUUGGGAAUUUUUUUAUACAUCUUGGGCACCGGUGCAAAAGGUUCCCAAUGUCGAGAAAGAUUUCAAAGGUUUGGAUCAACAAUAAGUUGACACUUUGCAAUUGUGCUUGAGGAAGUUUCAAGGAUGGCCACUGAUCUAAUUGCCCCCGAAGAUCUUUUUUUUAGCUCAAUACCCGAAUAAAUACGUAAUGAUUCUAGAUAUAUGCUCCAUUUUAAGGUCAAAAUAUUAUUUUAUAUUAUUAUAUUUUAAUAUAUUUGGUCGACUAAAAAUAUGCACGAGAGUAAUAUGAUUAUUUGUUCAGGACUGCAUAGGUGCAAUUGAUGGUACUCACAUUGCCACUAUUCUUCCAGCAAAUGAACAAAUUCCCUAUAUUGGAAGAAAAUGUAUCCCGACUCAAAAUUUUAUGGCAGUAUGUGAUUUUAAUAUGUGUUUCAUCUUUGUCAUGGUUGGAUGGAAAGAAUCGACACAUGACACUAGAAUAUUUCUUGAUGCAAUUUGAGAUCCAAAAUACAAAUUUUCGCACCCACCAAAUGGUUAGAUAUUUUAUUUAUAUGUGCUUUUUUAAAUAAUAAAGUAUAAGUUCUUUAAUUGAUAAUUUUUAUAAAAAAAAUUCUUGAAUUAAUUGUUUGUUAUAUUAUGACUUGUAGGAAAAUAUUAUCUUGUUGAUUCUGGAUAUCCUCAAAUGAAAAGUUAUCUUGGACCAUAUAGAGGUCAGCGAUAUCAUUUACCUGACUUUCGUAGAGGUAGACCAGUAUCUGGUAAAGAAGAGAUAUUCAAUCAUUCACAUUCAUCAUUACGUAGUGUGAUUGAACGAACUUUUGGUGUUUUGAAAAAAAUGGGUUAUUUUAAGGGAUAUGCCAAGUUAUAGUUUUGAAAAGCAAACGAUGAUCGUUGUUGCUACAAUGACGAUACACAAUUUUAUCCGAAAACAUGUCGGUCGAACUGAUGCAGAUUUUAUGAAAUACGAAGAUAUUAACUGGGCAUAUGAGAAUAUUAUUGAUUCAGAAAAUGCACAUGGUCGAGAAAGUGAUGAUGAUGACGACAACAAUGAUGAUGGUGAUGACAGUGAAUCAAACAAUUCAAGUGGUUUUGAAAUGGAAUUAACAAGAGAUGCUAUAACUUCUAGUUUAAUGAAUUCACUUUAAAUUGUAAAUGCUAUUGUAAAAUUUUUAGUAUUUAUAUUUGGUAUAUAAAUAUUAUCCCUUUUUAAAACUUUAAUCCAAAUAUAUGUGAUAUUUUAAUUUUUUAGGUUUAUGUUUUCUAUGUUAUGUUAAUAUCUAAUAUGAGUUAUAUAUUCAAAUACAUUUUAAAAUAAAAUAAUACAAAUGUGUCAAUAUCUAAUUACAAAUAUUUAAUUAUUAUAUUUAAAUAUUUAAAUAUAGUUUGUAUAUUCUAAUUAUAUUUAAUAAAUAAUUAAUAUUAAUUACUUAGAAAUAUUUAAAAUUAAUAUUAUAUACUAAAAUAUUAACAAUAAAUUAUAAUAAAUUAUUUUUUAUAUCUUUGCUAAAAUAUCAUAAUAUUAACUAAUUUGAACAUUAUUUAAAUACAUAUUUGUUACUUUAUAAUAUCAUUUCUAAAAUGGACAUUUUAUUCUUCAAAAGCACUUUUUGACAGCAAUAUCAAACACUCAAAAUUUUCAAAAGUACUUCUCAAAAGUACUUUUCCACAGCACUUUUCCAAAGCAAUGAAGAACUGGCCCAAAAGCACACUAGCUUUCGCCGUCUCAUCCGCAAAAAAACCUAAAAUGAUACACCAGAAACUCCCUCAAGACAGACAGAGCCAAGUCACUUUCUCGCUAAUCCCCAUCGAACCCUCCAAUUAAGCAAAGCCAUUUCAUAUUUCAACCCAGUGGGCACCACAAUUGCCUUACAAAAUUUACAAACUAAAAUGCUAAAAGUAAUCCAGAAAAAUACACAGCCCAAGCUCCAAAAUGCAAGAAAGUCCAUUUAAAAUAUGAGCCAAAUUUAGAUUUCAGUUUAAAAACUUGAAUCUAAUUCGUUUUUAAUUUUGUAAUAUAGUAUAUUCACUACAAGAAAAAUAUGAAUUGUCAACAUUAAAAUUUAUUGCUAAAUGUUGUAUUACCAUUACUAAGAGUUUAUUGCAACAACAAAAAAAUCGUUGCGAGGUCGUUGUGUAUACCUCUAUUGUACAAAAUAUGCACAACGAUUUUACAAAUUGAAAAGUCGUUUUAAUUAUAUAUAUUGCAACAACUUUUUUCAUUUUAAAAUAUAUAUUUUUUGUAACGACUUAAUUUAUUUGUAUAAAAAUGUUUUAGUUAUAGUAAAAUCUGUUAUAAUAUUUUUAACACAACCAUAAUACUUUAGUUACAAAAACUAUUACCUAACAAUAAUAUAUUGGUUGUAAUAUAAAAUUUGCAACAACUGUAAAUUAAAAUGCUAAGUUUUGUACGUAACAAUAAUAAUAUUGAUAUGUAAUUGUAUUACAUUACUCAAUGAUUAUAUGUCAUUGCCAAAAAAAUAUUUUAAUAACCAUAAAAUGUGGUUGCCAAAUCAUUUACUUAAGAACAAUACUACUGAUUACUAAAUAUUAUUCUGCAACUAUUUUAAUUUAUUGUGUACUACAUUGCUGUAACACCCCUAAUGUAACACCUCUUACCCGAGACCGUUUUUGGAGUCGAGCACGAGGCAUUACUUAGCUUAUCUUACUAAUUCGGAGCAUAAAAACUUGGUUUGAAAAUUUAUUUCACUAUUUACAGCAAAUCUGUCCACCCAUGCAGUAGUCACUUAUUUAAUUAUAACUCGAGUUACGAAACUCAAAAUUUAGAUCCGUAAAUUUUCCCUGAAAUUAGACUCAUAUAUCUUUUCACCAUAAAAUUUUUCAGAAUUUUUGGUUUAGCCAAUUAGUACAGUUUAUUAGUUAAAGUCUCCCCUAUUUCAGUGACCGACCAUCCUGACCUCUUGUCACUAAAAUUCAAUUAUCUCUUUGUACAGACUUCAUAUGGUGCUUCCACUUAUUUCUCCUGAAAAUAGACUCAUAAAGGAAUAUAUACAUAUAAAUUAUAACUCAUAAUUCCUUCUGUGAAAUUUUUAAUGAAUUUCUAAAGUCAGAACAGGGGACCUCAAAAUCAUUCUGACCCUGUCUCACUAAAAUUCAAAUAUCUAAAAAUAUACAACUCUUUUUCUUACUCUAUUUCUUUCAUGUGAAAUUAGACUCAUUCAGCUUUAAUUUAGUAUCUCACUCAGAUUCUAAUUCAAUUUCCACCAUUUUUGAUGAUUUUUCAAAGUUACCUCAAUGCAUAUAUCCGAAAACUGUUCCAUUGCAAAUUUUAAAAAAAUUCAAUAUAACCCCUUUGUAAUUAUCUAACCUUCCCUGCAAAUUUAAAUCACAACCAAUUCCAGUAUUUCAACUACUUCAUUUAAAUACUAAUGAAGUUCAACCAAUCAACCAUUUCAAACAAAAAAAAAACAUGUAUAUAUUUCGAUAUCUAACACAACCAUAACAUUCAAAUUUAUUUUGCAUACUUAGUCAUUCAUACUAAUACUUUUUACUUCAAUUCCCUAUACAUGCCAUAUAAAUCCAAAAAGUUGUUUAACAAAAUCUACCGGAGUAAAUCUGGAUAGUGUGAUCGUUGUUGUAGAUCCGAUCCUCCGAAAUAUAUAUAUACGUCAAUCUACAAGAAACAGUAAACACACACCAGUAAGCUUACAGAAAGCUUAGUAAGUUCACAGGCUCAUAAUAAUAUAUUACCAAAAUUUCACUAACAACAUUAACAAACAAAUAAAAAUUCAGCAUUUCCUGCCAACCCCAAUCUCAAAUAAUAAAUAUAUAUAAUCGUGCUCAAUUUCAGAUGUCAACUUCUAUUCCAACAUUUAGUUUCAAUUGCACUUACAAAUACCUGUCAAAUUAAGGAUCGUCUUACGGAAUUGAGUACAUCGUUUGCCCGUGCCACGAUUUGCUUGAACAUUUCACAUUGCUAUAAUUCAGUAUGGUUUUCUUCCUUGAAAUACCAUACCUACUUUUCACAACUUAGUAUGGUUUUCUUCAUUGAAACACCAUACCUACUUUUCACAACUCAGUAUGGUUUUCUUCACCGAAACACCAUACCUACUUUUCACAAUUUUCCAUGGAUCCACCAUGGACUUAUCCGUCAAUUCGUCGUUGGUUGCCAAACAUGUGUACUCAAUCCUGCGUAUCCCUUAAUUUGAACUAACAAUCUCAUCUUCUUCUCAUUUUUACCAUAAUCAUAAUUCAGUAACAAUAUACGAAUUUAUACAAUAUAUCAUUUCCACAUUAACAAUUAAUCAUAAAAAUUCAGCCAUAUGAACUUACCUGGGCCGAUUUGUAGAAGUUUUAAAAGUUCAGAAACUAGUUUGAUACUUUCUCUUUUCCGCGUUUAUCUUCGGAUUCCCGAUCUAUAAUAUAAAUUUUUCCAUUCAUUAGCAUCUAAUUCAAUACUAAUUUACUUCACAAUUUAUGCCUUUCAAUUUUCAAAAUUACACUUUUACCUCCAAAAUUUACAAUUUUUACAAUUUGGUCCCUACUCAAUUAACCCUUCAAUUGAUCAAAAUUUUCCCAAUUAACACUUUAUCCAACCAUUUUAGACUACUGAACAGCCUUUGAUAUUCAUAAUUUCAGUACAAAACCCCAAUUCCUAACUUUUUCACAAUUAGGCCCUAAAAAUCAUUUUCUACUAAAAUCAUUUUAAUAAGAUCAUAAUAUAAUGAAAUUAAGACUUAAAAUCUAUAAUAAUUCAUCAUAAAAUUCCAGAACUUAUUCAUGGUAACUUACAAAAUCACUCAUAAAUUCAAAAACUAACAAAUUCAAUAGUUGGACCUAGUUGUAAAAGUCACAAAACAUGAAAAUUUCAAAGAAAAAAGCAAGAAUUGAACUUACAUGAUGAAAAAUAUGAAAAACCAGCUUGAAAACUCUCUCCUAUUACGUUUUGGCUGAAGAAAAAUGAUGAUAUCUCUAGAUUUUUCACUUUUAUCUUUGUUUUAUAUAUUUAAUUUGUAAAAUUUCCAAUUUUGCCCUUAUUUCUCCUUACUUUCCUGCUGAUUUUUCUUGCCCAACCGUCCAGCCCAUAAAAUUUUGGGCCUAAUUGCCUUUUAAAUCCCUCCUCAUUAGUCACUUAAGCUAUUUAAUCAUAAUUUAACAAAUUUUACACUAGUCUCAAUUUAGUCCUUUUUAGUUAAUUGACUAACCAAACGUUAAAAUUUUCUAACGAAACUUUUAUACUAACUCAAUGACAUUCCAUAAAUAUUUAUAAAAAUAUUUAUGGCUCGGUUUAUGAACUCGAUGUCUCGACACCGCAUUUUAGACCCACUUUACCUAUUAAAUUCUUUUUAAAUCACAAAAUUCACUAAUUCAAAAUUCUUCUAAAUUCACACUUGACCCAUAAUUAUUAAUUUAUUAAAUUUUAAGACUCACUUGUCAGAUUUAGUGAUCUCGAAUCACUGUUUCUGACACCACUGAAAAUUAGGCUGUUACAACUAACCCGAAUCCGUCGUCAGAACAAAGUUAUGGAGCAUCACCGAAAUUUACAAAUUAAUUUUCAGACAUCUAUUUCAUCUAGCAUUCAUAUUUGAAACCAACCAAAAUCAAAAUAUUAAUGAGCCAACGUUGGCUAAAUUAACUUAUACAUGCCAUUAUAACUAGAACCAAAUCAUCCAAAAUUACCGAUAAAACCAAUGGAUAGUGUGAUAUAUCUCCGACAAGUUUCCAACCCAAUCGAGCUUCCGAUUAUCUGUAGGGUAAAUAAAAAAAAUAAAUGCGUAAGCAAUGAAUGCUUAGUAAGCUCGUGUAGUCUUUAAUCAUAUUAGUUCCUUUAAAAUAUGAAAUUUAUGCAUAUCAUGGAUAACCCAAAGUUGAUACCACAAUACCCAUGAAGCUAUAUUCAUCAACUUACAAGGUAAAUAAAUCCACAAUAUCACUUAAACACAUUAUCCCAAGCUUAGUAGGAUUUUAUAUAACUUUAUCUCUUCAUAAUUUCUUUAUUUUCAUUUUCAUUUCUUUACUUUCCACGCUUAUUCUAUAUGCGUGACACACAAGUCAUAAACAUUUCAUUCAACCAUAGUCACAAGCUAAUGCAUUUCCAAAGUCUUUUUCAAAUUGAUUACAUGAUAAGUUAUUUCAUAAGAAAUUGUAUAAUCUAAACCUUACCACUUUUUAGUGAGCGCUAGCAUAUUUUCACUUAAAUACUUUCCAAUUCAAUGCAUUAUAUAAAUAAUCAUAAUAUCAUUCAACCAAUAGCUUGGCACUUGCCUAAGCAUCAAGCAAGAAUACUAGUUAGUGUACUUGCACACAUUACAUAUAAACUCAUCAUGCAUAAUUUUCUUGUAUCAACAUAUUAAAGAUAAUCAUACAUUUACAUGUCAUGAUACAUAUCAUUCUCUUGUCGUUUCUUCAUAGACAUAUAUCAUUCAUUUCAUUAUUUCGAUAUUUCAUGUACCAUCAUUUUCAUGAAUUUCGUACAUACCAGUAAUAGUUCAUUUCAAAUUCAUGUUAUCUCACUUUAAAAUUUUACCCGUUAUAUCAUUUAAAUAUCAAUGGUUAUAUUUAUUUUAGAUCAAUACCAAUAAUAAUCUAUAAAUCUUUCAAUUCAAUCACAUAAGUCUUUUACCAUUUCUUUCUGAAUCGAAGAACGACUUACGGAUAUUAGUACAUCAUUCUUUGGUGCCAUAUUCCAACUAUGGUCUUGCACAUAUAAACACUGCCAUAGUCCAACCAUGGUCUUACAUUUAUAGUGCCAUAACCCAGUUGUGGUUUUAUCCAUCAAUUCAUCCUUUGUCACAGUACGAUUGUACUCAAUCCCGCGUUCAAUCCAAAUUGAGUAUUGAAUUCGAUAUUAUAUUUCCAAUAAUAAUUCAAUUUCAUAUUUUCUAUUACCCUUAUUAUUUCCCCAUAUUUAUCCCGUUGAAUUUCUUGGAAAUUCGAUGGAUUUUCAGAUGUACACUUUUAGUGUACAAUUCCGGGUCCGUCAAUUCAUAUUCAUGUGGGCACAUUUCCAUUUCAGAGAGCACACUCCUGCGAACCUCAUCCUUACAGCGGGAUUGCCAGUCCAGGCUAAAUCCCCUAUAAUAUAAACUCAUAGAGUAUUGUCGGGAUUACCAGUCCAGGCUAAAUCCCCUGCAACGACAAUUAUUGUAAUGAUUUUGGAUCUGAAUUAUCAGUCCAAGCUAAAUUCAGACCCUAAUUCAGAUUACCCGUCCGGGUUAAAUCCAUUUUCCACAUAUUCUUCGGGAUGGCUAUAUCAGGAUAGGAUCACCCGUCCGGGCUAGAUCCUUUUUACCGUCAAUUCCUUUUCAGAGAUCUAUCGAAUUUUCCUUCCAUUCAACCGGGAUUUCUUCCCCUUUUUAUAAAAUAUAUCAAUGUUUCAUCAAUUUUCAUACAAUGAACAUUCAAAUCAUAUUACAUUAAUAACAAACAUUUCAAGAAUUUAAGAAUAUAAUUCAAGUUACACGAACUUACCUCAUUACUUGUUCGUGUUUACAAUUUCACUAAUUUGAUGUCUUUUCUUUUCCACGUUCAAGUUCCAUAUUUGAGUCAUUCGGAUCUUUCUAAACAAAUUUGAUCAUCAUUUUCAUUCAUUUCAUAUUCUGAUAUAUUCAAUUAAUACUCUAGGCAAGAUUACCAUAUUGCCCCUAAGCUUUUAAUUAAUGACGAUUUUAAUCCUUGGGCUCAGAAAAAUAAAUUAUUGUAAUUUUAAUCCUUGUUUUAAGCCUAAUUAUUCCCAUACAUAUUGAUAACAGCCCAUGAAUUCUAUAAAAUAUUAGAAUUUUUCAUAAUUUCAACACUUUUCAAUUUAAUCCCUAAAACAUGUUUUCACCCGAUCUUGUUCUAAAUUUCAUUCAAUUUUGUAAUUUAAAUAAAUAAACAGUCCAUUUCAUGCAAUUUGGUCAUUUUUGACAUUUUUUACAAAUUGCCCAUAAAGUUUUACUUUUAUUCAAUUUAGUCCCUGAGUCUAAAACAUGCAAAUUAUCCAUGCUAACUGAAUAUUCACAUAUAUAUCUUCCUCAUCCUUCUCUUCAUUCCACUUCCUUAAUUUAUAUAAAAUGCUUAUAAGUAACAUUAUCUAUGAUUUCACAAUUUACUUGUAAAUUUAUUCAAAGCUAUCCAUUUGAGUCAUAAUCACUAAAUUAUUUUUAUCUUGAGCUACGGAACUUCAAAUUAGGAUCUGCUAAUUUUUCCUGAAACUAGACUCACAUAUCUUCUUACCAUAAAAUUUUUAGAAUUUUUGGUUCAGCCAAUAAGUACAACUUAUUCUUUAAAUUCACCUCUCUUCUGCUAUCUGACAAUUCCGACCCUUCUUCACUUAAAAUUAAUUAUCUCUUUGUAUAGAAUUUGGAUUAUGUCCCCAUUUUUUUCUCUUGAAAAUAGACUCAUUAAGGAUUUUAAACAUAUAAAUUCUAACCCAUAAUUAUUUUUUUACUUUUUAAUGAUUUUUCCAAGUCAGAACAGGGGAACCCAAAUUCAUUCUGACCUUGUCUCACAAAAUUUAUUAUAUCUCAUAAUUUACGAUUCUAUUGCUUACACCGUUUCUUUUAUGAGAAAAUAGAAUCAAUAAGCUUUAAUUCCAUAUUUUAUUCAUACUCUAAUUCGAUUUUCAUAAUUUAUGGUGAUUUUUCAAAGUGAGCCUACUGUUGCUGUCCAAAACUGUUUUAGUACAAUAUGUUUAUUACCAUGUUUAUAACACCCUUAUUUUCUUUCUUUACACUGUGUCUAAUCACUUUCUCUUAUUUUCUCUUCACUAACAUAUCAAGAACAUAGGACCAUAUAUACAAAAACUUUACAUUAACAUCAUUUCCAUACUUUUUCAAUAAUAUUAAACUUAAAAAUAUAUUAAAAUCUUAAUGUACUUACCUUGUCAUAUUGAUUUCAAUCUUUAACUUGAUUUUCUCUCUCCUCCAGCAUCUAUUUCUUGAAUCUAACUUGAUAUUCUAGCUCCCCAUAGUCUCCUUGUUAUCUUUCUCUUUGAUGGAUAUGGAAAUUCUUUUGAUUUCUAGGUGAAAAUGGUGAAUUUUUGGUGGAAGGACUAAAUUGUAAAGAAAGUAAAACUUUCUUUCUUUCUCUCUUUUCCUCACGUUAGUGCAUGAAAAAAAAUGGGUGGGUUGCAUGAUUCUUCAUCUUCCUUUUCUUAUAUAUAUACUAAAUAAAAUAAUAAUAAAAUAUUAAAAUAUCAUUUAAAAAUCAAAUUAAAAUACUAAUAAACUAAUAUUUAUUUAUUUAAUCAAAAAUAUCUCCAACAUCAUCAUCAUCUUCUAUAUUUCCCUCUCUUCUAAUUGAUCAUUUUGCCCUUUAUGAUCUUUUAAAAUUUUAUCCUUGAGUCAUCACUUAAUUUGGUAAAAUUACUAUUUAGUCCCUCAAAAUUCUUCACCUUUUUCAAUUUGGUUCUAAUCCAUCCAUUUUCCUUAGUUUCUAGAUCAUUCCACCCUUAAAAUAUUUACACCAUUGGUCCUUCAAAUUUUUAUAUUUACACUUUAAGCCCUCAAUUUUUGAGUAUUUACUCUUGGGCAACAAAAUGUUUUUCACUUUUACGAUUUAAUCCUUUCUUGAACUAAUAUGUCAUAAUAUACUUCUCAAUGUUGACAUAACUCAAAAAUUUCCCCUUUUUGUCGCUUUAUUUCCUUACUUUAUUAUAUCAAAGAUAAUAUCUUACUGUAAAAAAAUUUUAGGGUAUUACAAUUGCGCAACAACAAUAUUAUUUUUAAUCAAAUGGCUAUAUAUAAUUUAAUAAAAUUUUAAAAAAUUUCUUAAUAAAAUUUUAAAAAAAAUUUCUUCAUCCUCUAACUUAAUAAAAUUUUUAAAAAAAAUUCAUGUUAGAUUGAAUUGACAUUGAGGUUAUAUAUAGUCACUGGUCAUGUCAAAGAGAAUAGCUCUACCAAAAUAAAAAAUUUAUUUUUAUUAAAAAUUUUAAAAAAAAUUAAUUGCAGCAUAGUAACCGUCAUUCUCUAUGACUCUAUCAAAUAAAAUAAUAAUUUUAAUUUCAAAUUAAAAAUAAAAAUCACUUUAAAAAUUUGACAUAAUAAAAGUGGUGUGACCAAUUUAUUUGGCUCCCGAAAUAUUAUUAUUUAUUUUCUAGUUCCCAAAAUAUUUAAAAAUAUUGGUGUUAGAGUGGUAUUUAUACGGGUGAAGCCAAAUAAAUUAACUUUACCUACAAAAAUUAAUUUUUGUUAUAAAAUAAAGAGAGAUGGAGAGAAUGAAGAACAAAUAAAAUAUGAAAGCAAUAGAGAAUGUACUUUAUUGAUCAAAGGGAUGAUUACAAUGCUUCAUCGGAGUCUCUAUUUAUAGGCAUAAGAAGUAUAAAAGAAGUAGAGGUCUAAUUCUAAUAACUAAUAGAAUUUAAAGUAUAUCAAAGCUUUAUCUUGAUCAUGAUGGACAUCCACUAAAUAAGAUAUUUAUAACACUUCCCCUUGGAUGUCCAUUGGUGGAUAAUGUGCCACGUUAAAACCUUAUUAGGAAAAAUCCUGUGGGAUAAAAACCUAAUGAAGGAAAAAGAGUACACAAUCUUCUAUUACAAGUUGUCUCAUUAAAAAUAUUUACCAGGAAAACCCAAUGGGACAAUACCUUGGUUAAAGGAAAAGAGUACAACUUAUUUUAGACUCCCCCUAAUAGCAACAUUACAUUACAUCUUUAAGUUGACGCAUUCCAAUCUUGUGUAGUAGUCUUUCAAAUGUUGAAGUUGGCAAUGCCUUAGUAAAAAUAUAUGUUAAAUUAUCACUAGAAUGAAUUUGUUGAACAUUUAUAUCACCUCUUUUCUCAAGAUCAUGGGUGAAGAAUAAUUUUGGCGAAAUAUGUUUCGUUCUAUCACCUUUGAUGUAACCACUCUUCAAUUGAGCUAUACAUGUUGCAUUAUCUUCAUAUAAGAUAGUUGGCAUCUUUUCCUAUAAAGGCAAAUUACAUAUCUUCUAGAUAUGUUGGGUCAAUAACCUUAGUCAAAUACACUCUCGACUUGCCUCAUUCAUUGCAAUUAUUUCUACAUGAUUUGAAUAAGCAACAGCUAAUGUUUGCUUUGUCGAACAUCAUGAUAUGGUAGUACCCCCCUCACAUGUAAAUAAAUAUCAUGUUUGAGAUCGACCUUUAUGUGGAUCUGGUAAGUAUCCAGCAUCAGCAUAGCCAACUAAUAAGGAUUUUGAAUCAUCUGAAUAAAAUAAACCCGUACCAAUGGUCCCUCUGAAAUAUCUAAAUACAUGUUUAAUUCCAUUCCAAUGCCUACAUGUUGGAGAAGAACUAAAUCUUACUAACAAGUUUACAGUGAAAGCUAUAUCAGGUCUUAUGUUGUUUGUAAGAUACAUCAAUGCCCUUAUGGCACUUAGAUAUGGUACUUUAGGACCAAGAAACUCUUCAUCAUUCUCGCAAGGAAGAAAUUGAUCUUUAUUCACAUCUAACGAUCGUACAACCAUCGGAGUAGUUAAUGGGUGUGUUUUAUCCAUGUAAAAUUUCUUUAAUAUCUUUUUCAUAUAAGUUGAUUAAUAAACAUGAAUUUUAUCUUUUAAAUGCUUGAUUUGUAAUCCAAGAUAAAACUUUGUUUUUCCAAGAUUUUUCAUCUCAAAUUCUUUCUUUAAACAAUUUAUUGUAUUUUGAAGCUCUUUAGGAGUUUCCAAUAAUAUUUAGAUAAUCAACAUAAACAACAAUUAUUACAAAAUAUGAUCCAAACCUUUUUAUAAAGACACAUGGACAAAUUGGAUCGUUUUUGUAACCUUCCUUUAACAAAUGUUCACUAAUACGAUUGUACCACAUGUCGAAACCAUUUUUUAAGUUUGAAAAAACAGGGAUCGACUUUUAAAAUAAAAACGGGAGUCGCCACCGAUCUUUUAUUAAGGUGUGACCGGUUCACCAUUAAAAUGAUUUUUGGUCUGCGAAUUUUGAGAAAAAUAGGUUCGGGAGUCGGUUACGCACGAGGAAGGGUUAGCACCCUCGUAACGCCCAAAAUUGGUACCGAAUCGAUUGUUUAAUGUCUUAAUGUCGAGAAUUUGAAAAGAUUUUUAAAAUACGAUCAUUUGAAAAGAGAAUUUGAAUAGAAUGAAUUUGAUUGAUGUGACUCACUUAUAAAUUGUCACACUCAGUAAGUUAGAGUGUAACGUUUUAAAUCCUUAAAAUUAAGUUUAUCUUUUAACUUUUGAAACCUAUGCAUUUUAAGAAAGAUAUCCGAUUAUUUGGGUCAAAUGAUAAAAUCAAAACCCAGUAAGUUAGGGCUCGAUUUCACAAAAUUCCUAAAUAUCGAAUAUUGCCUUUAUUUUAAAGUCGAGAUAGCAAAAUGCCAUAUCCAGUAAGUUUGGAUCCAACAUUUUGAAGUCUCAAAAGUUUUAUUUUAAAAUUGUAUGGUUUUACCAAAAUAAACACUUGGCUAUUCAAAUUCAUCGAGAAGAAUGGAAGCCCAGUAAGUUAGGGCACCAUUCUCUCGAGAGUUAUGGACACCAGGCCUUUUUUGAAAAUUAUGAAAUAGAACGAUUGUUGUGCUUAAAAAAAACAAACAAUUUUUAUAAAUGUAGCAUGAUUGAAUGGUAAUAUACAAUGUUCAAGAUAAAUGGCAAUCCAAACACACACUAAAAAAAACAAGUAAAUAAUAGGUAAAUGCAAAUAUCAAUAAUAAUUCUAAUCAUAUCUUACAAACAUCAAUAUUAGCAAUUUAACAUCCAAUAAAUUAAUAAUCAAUUUUCUAAAAGGUACAUCAAGACAAUGAGAGAAAAAAUAAUUAAUAUCCUAUACAUAAAAGUUCUAAAAUAAAUUAAAUAUAUGAAUUCAAAAUAGACUCAAAAUAGAAUUAGAAUAACCAUUGAAUAGUCGAAUUUGAAAUAAAUUUGAAGCAAAUAAAAUACAUAUAUUAGCUUAAUAUAUAUAAAAGAUAAACAUAAUAAUAAUAAUAAUAAUAAUAAUAAUAAUAAUAAUAAUAAUACAUAUACUCGAUUAAAAAACAUACAUAAAAUAUUGAAAGUAAAACGAAAUUUAAUGGGUAGCAAACAUAAAUAAAAAUAAAAGAAAGAUUAAAUUUGAACUUCAAAAAAAAGAGGGACUAAAACAGCAAAUAGACGCAUAAUUCUAAUGAUUUUAAUCUGCUUGAUGAAAACGACGACGUUUGAAUAUGGAUUUAAAUGAAAUCAAAAUCAAAUCCACAGUUCAAAUUUAAAAAGUGAAUAAAAUCCAAUUGAAAUUAUACUGAACACGGAGAGACUCAUUGCGCAAAUAGACCAACGAGCGAAAAUGCGCGGAUCCUCCCCAGGUCGGGUCACACACGCGGGUCAUAUGGCCAAUACGGCGCCGUUUUAAGGCCACUGACGCAGGCCUUAAACGGUGUCGUUUUCCGCACCAUAAAUAUAAACUUAAAAACCCUAAAAAUAGCAGCCAUCCUUUGUCCUGGAAGAAAACCUAGAGCAAAGCUACUCCCCCCUGCACCACUUCAGCAUCGGAGCCCAAAGUCGACUGGUUCCGAACCAACGAGGGAUUCGACGGUAGACUUAUAGGUACGAGCCCUGACUCCCCCCUUCCUUCUCUCCUUUUUUUUAUGCUUAUAUAUAUGUAUUAAUAACAAAACAAAAAGAAAGAAAAGCGAUCGGAAAAAGAAAAGAAUCGAUCAGAGAAAAAAGAACCUUUUUUUUAUUGAUUUCCUUUUUGAUACAGUUUUUCGUGUGUUUUUUGUGUGCGAGAGUAACCCCCUUUUUAUAAUGCCUAUUUUGCUUUUUUUUUUUUAGCCAGAAAACAUGAAAAGAAAAGAAAAAAUGUUUUUCCUUCUUUGUUGUUGCUGCUGUUUUCUGUUUGUCUUCUCUUGCAGGUACGGGUGUGCGUGGCGUGGCUUGACAUGUACGGAGGCAAAGGUUGGCGAGGAGCGGCUCGGUUGGGUCUGUUGUGCGAGGGAGUUGCGGCGCCUGGUCUGUUCCAGAAACCCUAGGGUUUUUGGAAGCUGUUUAGGGCUAUUAGUGUUUGGGCUUAUUGGGCCUGGUGUAAUUGGGGUUAAACUUUAGUGGGCCUUAGUGGGUUAAUAACUUGUAUUGGACUGUUUUUAUUGGACUUUUGAUUUAUUUGGCUUUUUAUUUUUUUAUUUACUUGUUUUUUUAUAUGCAUGUGGGCGGGCACAAAUUGGGUUUUACACCACAUACAUUCAGAUUAUUUUUAUCCAUAUAAACUUUUCUUUAAUUUGAUUGAGUAAUUUUCUCAAGAAACUCUAUAUCAUUUUGGGAUUUUAAAUCUUUCAAGGAUUUUCAUAUAAAUUUCACUAUCAAGUGCACCAUAUAAAUAAGAUGUAACAACAUCCAUUAAAUGCAUGUCAAGUUUUUCUCGUACUGCCAAACUAAUAAGAUGUCUCUUCAUAAUCAAUGUUGGGCCUUUGCGAAAAUCCUUUUGCUACAAGACGAGCUUUAUAUCUUAUGACUUCAUCAAUUUCAUUUCAUUUUCGCACAAAUACUCAUUUAUAUCCUACCGACUUUACACCUUUAGGUGUUUUGGACUACAGGUCCAAAAACUUCACGUUUAGAAAGUGAAUCCAAUUAUACUUGAAUUGCAUCUUUCCAUUUUGACCAAUCUUUUCUAUUUUUACAUUCCUUAAUAGAUUUAGGCUCAGGAUCCUCAUUUUCUAAUGUUAUUUCAAUAGCAACAUUAUAAGCAAAAUUGUUGUCGACAACUACAUUAUUUUUGGUUCCAUCUUUUUAUCGUAUUGACAUAACUUAUCGAUAUCUCUUUAUUUUCAUCAUUUCUAUUUUCAUUUUAAGGUACCUGAAUCUCUUCUUGAGUUUUAUAAUUAGUUAUAUCAUAGGUCUCUUCAGGAACUCCUGCCUCCACUAUGUGACCGCCUUGAAUGUUUACUCCUUUUCUUUUAUAAGGAUUUUUAUCUUUGGAACCGACCGGUCUUCUAUGCUUCAGGCAUGGAUUACUUUCUUUUGCAUUAACAGUUUGCCCUAUUAGGACAUCAAUUCGUAUUGGAGCAUUUUCAGCUGGUAUUUGAAAUUUAAUGAAUUUGGCAAUUGAUUUGUAAAAUAAAUUAUCUGUUGAACUUCUACUUCACGUUGCUUUGUACGAGGAUCUUAAAUAUUGAUAAUUCAGUUCAAGUACUUUAUUAAUCCAACUUUUAUUCUCUCACUCCAAUGUUGGGAAAACUGACAACUCAUGUCAUAACUAAAUACCGAAUUAAUAGCUCAAAAAUAAUAUAAGGAGACUCAUAUAAAUAUACAUUCCCAAUCUCUUAUUAUGACCCAUCUUUGUGCGUUGUGGUGGAGCAGUUGGAACAUAUAUCGCACAUCUAAAAAAUGUAAGAUGGAAAAUAUUUGGCUCUUAACCAAAAAUCAAUUGUAAUGAAGAGUAUUUAUAAUUUAUUGGCUUGAUGCAUACAACAUGUAAAUCAAUACAAUCUCAUGCUGAAAUAGAAAGUUUUGUUCUCAUAAGUAAUGAUUUAGCUAUUAGUUGGAGGCAUUUGAUAAACAAUUCAGCUAAAUCAUUUUGUGUGUGAUCAUGAGCUACAAGAUGUUUAACUUUUAUCCCAAUUGACAUGCAAUAAUCAUUGAAAACUUGGGAUGUAAACUCACUAACAUUAGCAAGAUAACUUGUUUUAAUUGCAUAAUCUGAAAUUAAUCAUUUAAACAAGCAGUCUCGCAAACAAAAGGUUGCGAGUUGAUAACGCAUGUGAUUAUUUUGUAGAUGCAUCUACCAAAAUCAUAUAAUAUCAAAAUCAUCCACAUGGUGGAUGAAUGGGCCCAUAUUCAUUUCAGAAAUGCAAGACAUUAAAUCUCAACUUUAGCUAGUGAGUUUCUAAGAUUCAACUUUCAUUGAGAACAAGCAACAAAUGAGAAUUCUUUAAAUUAAAUAAUCUUUUGGAUCUUUAAUGAAUGUCCAUAUGAAUUCUCAAUUAAUUUUUGAAUCAUAUAUGAUCCAGGAUGGUCUAACUGGUUACGCCAAGUAGUAAAUGCAUUUGUAUUAGUAAACUUCUUGUUUACUUUAACAUGUGUUUCAAUUGUACUAAAUUGUAAUAAAUUGAUAAUUUUAUUGUCAUUCUUUUAUUUUGUAUCCACAUAUAAAUACUAUAGUGACAUUUACUAUUGGAAAUGUCUAAAUCUAUGUGAAGUCUAUAAUGCCACUAAGUCAAUAAAUAAAUAUAAUUUUCAAAUAAUUAUAUAUAAUAUUCGUUUUAGGGAAUAUGUCAAAAUAUUCAAAUAUAAGGCAUUUGGUCUAGUGGUAUGAUUCUCGCUUAGAGUGCGAGAGGUCCCAAGUUCGAUUCAAAAUAUAAAUAACUCAAUCCUCUUUUGAUUCAUAUCAAAUAUAAUCUUUUCCUCAUUCACAAUCUCAACAUGAGAUCCAUUAUGAAUAUCUUUUAAAACUAAUGCAUUAACUAUCACAAACUUUGUGCUUUUUAGAUAUUGAUAUAUUAUCUCUUCUAGAGCUUUCAAUUAACUUUUUACUAUCAAAUAUUGGAAUAUAUUUGUUUAUUUCAGCACCAAAUAAGAUAAAUAUUUUCUAUCUGUAAUGAUAAAAUUUAUUACUAGAUUCUCAUAUCCUUCCUUAAAGGAUAUUAUCAGAGACAAAAUAUUUGGGCAUGCACCACAUAUGUGACCAGUAAUCUCCAUAUCACAUUGGUAACAUAAGUUAUAUUUACCAUUUGAAAAUUUAUCUUGAGAACUCUCAUUGUUCUCUUAUUUAUUACUAUGUUCCUACUUUUAGUGGUCCAUGAGUAUAUCCUUUAUUUUCUUUAUGUUUACAUUCUCUUCGGGGAAUGCAACAAAUCUAGUAGGAUGGACUUAUAAACAUCCCAAUAGAUUCUUUAUUUCAUAAUCACCAUCGCAAACAUGCGUGAGAUUUAAAUCAAAAUUUAUCUAUUCAUAUUGUCAUGAUUAGUCUCCAAUUAUAAUAAACAUGAUAUAAUACAUAAAACAUAAUAAAAUAUACCUGAAGAUCUUUAACAUCAUCGUCAUCAUAUUGACUAUUAUCACGAGCACUAUUACAAGUAGUAAAACAACUUUGUUUUCGUAAUAACAUUUACAAUCUAAUAGUAAAAAUUAUUUAAUAAAUAAUCAAAAUUUGUGUAUCAAAAUUUUCAUGUACGAUGCUUGAAAAUUAUCUGAUACACAUUGUAUCAAAUUUCAAUACCACAUAUAUGUUAUAAAAUCUUAUCUUGCUCUAAUAAAAUAUUUAUAAGUUCAAUUUAAAAGAUAUCAUACAAUUAUUCAAUAUUAGAAAGCUAAUAAGACUAAAUAGAUCCUAUCAAAUUUCCUUUUAUUCAACAAUGGUAGGUUAUUUAGACUUUCCACCAUAAUUUUAAUAAAAUUUCAAGAAUAAAUAACAAGAAAAAAAAUUUAAAACACAAAAAUAUUAUGCAUAAUAUAAUUUAAUUAAAAAAACUUUAAAAAUAGAAAAAAGAACAUACCAUAUUAAUAGUAAACAUAUCUAAUCAAUAAUUAUGUCUUUUAAAUAAAAAAGCAAAAAUCAAAUACUAUCAGAAUGUGAAAUUUAUGUCAAAUAAAAAUUAAUAGUACUUAUACCUUAAUUGAAAAAGAAAAUAUGGCCGAAAUAUAAAAGUUUCUUACCAAAUCUAUACUUUACCCAUACUUGUACAAUAAAUCAAAGAUCAAAAAUAAGAAUCACAAUCCAUUCUGAGAUUGAAUCUUUCAACAUCCUGAAAAUGAAGUUGUAAGGGAGAGUUUAAGGUGAAAAGGAAUUUGAUUUGUGGGACGACUUCGAAAGAUUUUGAAAAAAAAAGAAAAUCAUCGUGUUGAUAACGUGUUAUAAAAUAAAGAGAGAUGGAGAGAAUAAAAAAUAAAGAAAACAUGAAAACAAUAAAAAAAAUAUACUUUAUUGAUCAAAGAGAUUAUUACAAUGUUUUAUCAGAUUUUAUUUAUAAGCAUAAGAAGAAUAAAAAAGAUAGAGAUCUAAUUCUAAUAACUAUUAAAAUUUAAAAUACAUAAAAAUUUUAUCUUAAGCAUGAUCAACAUCCACUUAACUUAAUAAGAUAUUUAUAAUAAUUUUUAAAUUCUAUAGGCGAAUUAUUAAGUAACGGGACAAGUAGGUGGUGAAAUUAAUAAAAAAAAAAUUCUGAAUUAUUUUUGUAAAAAAGCGGCAAAACCCAGAUUACCACAACAGAUGCAAAAUCUGAUCGGUGAAGUUAAGAAAAUGGAGACCAUGGGAAAUCUUCUAAUCCUUUUUCCAGCUUCUUUAUGCCUCUUCCUUUUCGUUGCUUUGCUCAAUGUUUUCUACAAGUAUUGGUGGAUACCUCAUCGUGUACAGUUCAUCAUGAAUUCACAAGGAAUCAGAGGACCUCCUUAUGAAUUUAUCCAUGGAAACAACAAAGAAGCUGCCCAAAUGCUCAUGGAAGCAUCUACCAAACCUAUGGCCUUGACACAAGAUAUAUUUCCCGAGUCAUGCCUCAUGUUUACUCCUGGAUCAACAAAUACGGUGAGAAUAUGUUUUUUUUUUCUCUUUUUGGGGUUGCAUUUUCUGAUUAACCUCCACUUUUCAAGAAAAGAAAUCAUUUUCUUUCAGGGAGGACUUAUCUUAGCUGGAAUGGAAUUCGAGCUCUACUGCUAAUUACAGACCCAGAUCUGGUGAACGAGGUCCUUAAAAACAGUGAAAAGGCUUUUCCAAAGCCGAAGGCUUCAUAUUUCUUCGACAAGCUACUAGGCGACGGUCUUGGUUCAACCGAAAGUGAGAAAUGGGCAAGGCUAAGGAAACUGGCCCAUUAUGCCUUUCAUGGGGAGAGCUUAAAAGUAAAUCAUCGCCACAUUCUACUCUAAUUAUUGUAGUGGAACAUCUACAAACUUGAUACUUUUUUUCAGAAUAUGAUUCCAGCAGUAGUUGCUAGCGUUGAAACCAUGCUUGAGAAAUGGAAAAGUAAGGAGGGCAAAGAGAUAGAAGUGUUCCAAGAGUUCAGAUUAUUGACUUCAGAAGUGAUAUCCAGAACCGCCUUUGGUAGCAGUUACUUGGAAGGGGAGAAGAUUUUUGACAUGUUGAUGAAGUUGACAGUAAUUGCAGGCAGAAAUAUUUAUAAAGCAGAGAUUCUCAUCAUCAGGUAACUUCAUCAAAUCUUUACUUUGUUAAUCAGCAUACUUCAGCUGCCAAUGGGUUGAUUUAACCUGGUUUUCCUUUUCAGCAAGUUUUGGAAAUCUGCUGAUGAAAUUGAAUCAGAUAAAAUUGCCAAAAUGAUACAUGAUUCUGUGAUGAAGAUUGUUAAAAAAAGGGAAGCCAAAGUAGUGACCGGAGAAGCUGAUAACUUCGGUCGUGAUUUUCUGGGAUUUCUGCUUAUCAUGAGGCGGACGAGAAAAAUAGGCUUUCGAUACAAGAUUUGGUAGAUGAGUGUAAAACUUUCUAUUUUUCUGGGCAAGAAACAGUCAAUUCCUUGCUUGCAUGGGCAACCCUGCUUUUAGCAAUACACACCGAUUGGCAAGAUAAAGCAAGAGCAGAGGUGAUUGAGGUCUUUGAUAAUCAAAACCCAGAUUCUGAAGGGAUGGCCAAAUUAAAGACGGUAAGCAAACUAUACAAAUUCAAUAGCUUGAAAACUAACAGUGAACAUUUAUAUUGCCCUUUGGAUUUCUUUUUCUCCAACAGAUUACCAUGAUUAUCAAUGAAACUUUACGGCUCUAUCCUCCUAUAAGUGGCAUGAUAAGAAAAGUAGGAAGAGAAGUCCGAUUAGGAACACUUGUCCUGCCUACUCAUUCACGGGUCGACAUGCGAAUCAUAGCACUUCACCAUGAUCCUGACUUAUGGGGAGAUGAUGUUGAUCUUUUCAAACCAGAGAGGUUUGCUGAGGGUUAGCCGAAGCUACUAAGUACAAUGCAGCUGCAUUUAUGCCCUUUGGAUUGGGACCUCGAUGUUGCGUAGGCAUGAGCUUUACAAUCAUUCAAGCGAAAAUUGCACUUUCCAUGAUUCUGCAACGCUACACUAUCAACCUCUCCCCUAGCUAUGUUCAUGCACCUUUACAACGUCUUACACUCAGGCCACAACAUGGGAUUCAGUUGUUGUUUCAUUCACUACGUUAUGAUGCUUAAAAUUCUAGGCUGUUGGUCUCCAAUAUAGUAAUAUAUAAUAAAAUGUGGGUAAUACUGUAUUUUGCAACCAUAUGAUGAUAUAUGGUUUUGGGAUUUCAUGUUUUGUUGAUAUUGUUAAAGGUUAAAAAGGUAUUACAGCAAACGUCGCCACCACAGGAGCAGGCCCUACAGUCCUGUACAUAACAUAAUCAACAACAAAAUAGUCCACCAAAGAGAAAUCAAUUCAAACUACCCCAAAAAGCUGGAACGGCAGCGGCAAAUCCAGUCAGCUCCCUGAACAUUAUACAGCAACACAGGAACAAGAACAUCACAACCCAGUCAUAUACAUGCCAUGAAGACAUUGGACUCCACAUUUUGCUAAAGUAUCAGCAAAGCAGUUAGAUUCUCUAUACACAUUCACAAAGGAGACAUUAUGGGAUCUCAUCACACAGCUUGGAAUAUGACCCAUCCAGCAUUUGAGAAACGGUGAAGAUGUCAAGUCCAGGAGCUCCAAACAAUGCCUCAGCCGGUGGACCCUAUAAUUAGGUGUCUUUCUUCCAUUACUACUGCAGUAGUGAAGUUUUUAUUGCACUUGGUUCCCUUCUUCCAGAGUUUCUGCUUGAAGCACUCACUCCUGGAGCCGGCCAUUGCUUGUUUUCAUUUUUAAUUUUUUAAUAUAAUAUAUUACAAAAUAUGAAUGGUCGUUAAAAUUUAUUGCUAAAUGUUGUAUUACCAUUGCUAAAAUUUUAUUUUAACAAAAAAAAUCGUUGUGAGUUCAUCAUGUAUACCUCCUUUGUAUAAAAUAUGCACAGAAAUUGAAAAGUCGUUUUUAAUUAUAUAUAUUGUAACAUCUUUUUUCGUUUUAAAAUAUAUUUUUUUUCUUAGCGAUAUAAUUUGUUUAUCUAAUAGUGUUUUAGUUAUAAUAAAAUUUGUUACAAUAUCUUUAACACAAUGAUAAUAUUUACAAAUACUAUUACGUAACAAUAGUAUAUUGGUUGCAAAAUAAAAUUUGCAAUAAUGUAAAAUUAAAUUGCUAAGCUUUUUACGUAACAAUAAUAAUAUUGAUUACCAAAUAUUAUUUUGUAAGGAUAUUUUAUUUGGUUGUGUAUUACAUUGUGCAAUGAUUAUAUUUCAUUGCCAAAAAAAUAUUUUAGCAACCAUUAAACGUGGUUGUCAAAUCAAUUACGUAACAAUAAUACUAUUGGUUGUUAAAUAUUAUUCUGCAAUGAUGUUUUAAUUGGUUGUGUACUAAUUGUGCAACAACUGUAAAAAUUUAUUUAAACAACCAUAAAAUGUGGUUGCCAAAUAGUUUGCGCAACAACAACAACAAUAAUAUAGUUGCUAAUGCAUUUACAUAACAAUUUUUACUUAGUUAUGAAAUAUUAAUUUACAAUGACAUAAUAUUUGGUCACGUCUUAUAUUACACGAUAUUUAAAUAUUGUGCAAAGUUAAUUUUAACAACCAUAAUAUUUUGUUGCAAUAUUUUUAUAUGUAACCAUAUUAUAAUGUUCGUUGAAAUUUAUUUUGCACCAAAACGUUAUCUAAUUGAUAAUAAAAAGAAGUAAUUACAAAUAUUAAAGAAAUUAGUUAUUUGUUUAAAAACAAUAUUACCAAAAUUUUAAGCUCGUUUGUUAGAGUCCAGCCUAAAAAUGGGCCUAAAUUUUUUUCAAGUCCAACCCAGAUAAAAAUGUCAAACCCGGUCCAACCUCGUCUUCUCGAAUGAGGGUUAGCAAAAUUCGAUUUAAUUCAAAAAAUUUAAUAAAAUAUUCAAAUUUUAAAUUAAAUAGUUCGAGUUAUUAAUGUUAAUCGAUUUAUUUGGAUUAACUCGAAUAAAAAAAAUUAAAAUUUUCAGUUUAACUCGAAUAUGAAUUACAUAAUUCGGGUUAUCUGAAAAUCUGAAUAAAAAAAUAUAAAACUACGUUGUUUUGAUAAAUAUUUAGAUUUUCUAAAGUUGAAGCCAAAACCAUUAAGUUAAAAACAAAACAAUUAUAUUGUUUAUGUAGUUAUAUAAUCUUGUAUUUCGUCUACUAGUUAAAUAAGCGGCCCAUGUAAAUGCAACAUUGAGUAUAAAUAAUAGGAUUUGUUAACUCUAAUUGACUUGACUCAAAAUUUUUUGACUCUAUUCGAUUCGAAAAAUUUUCAAAUUGAGUUCGGUUAAUAGGAUUCGUCAACUCGACUAACUCAAAAUUUUUUUACUCGAUCUAAUAUUCACCCCUAUUUCUAAACUAUAACAGUUAAUGGAAACUUGUUAAGUCAUAAAAAAUUCAAGUAAAUGUUUUAAACUUGAGUUUUAUGAAUACAAAAAAUAAUUUUAAAAGCUAUUUUAAAUUAUAAAAUUUAUUUGGUAUAAAUUAAAAUUAAAUACAAAAUAUAAUUAGAUUGUUUGAUAAAAUAUAAUUUUUUAAGAAUUUAAAGGUGGGGUAUUUGAAGGAUUUAAAAGAGAUAAAAUAAGAAUAAUUGAAACAAAUUCUACAUUAAGUUAUUUAUCUACUUUUCAUUUUCCACAUCUUUUCGUAGAAAAAUCCAAUCAUUUGUCUUUUAUUAUGAAUCAUCAAACUUGCUUAAAAACAUAAAUUAUUAGUUGAUUUAUUUUGUUUUCAAUUCAUUAUCAAACAAGCCCUUAGUUAAUGUUCUCCAAGUUCAAGUGCCAUUUAUGUCAAAAAAAAGUUUAAGUAAUAGUAACAUAAACAUUCAUUUAAUUAUAACAAUAAAGUUAAAGCCAUGAAUAUUUUCAAAAAAAUUCAAUUAAGUCCUUGAAUGUUAAAAUUUCAAUCAAUUAAGCUCUUUGAUAGUUAAAGUUAACAGUUAAUUGUUGUAGUUAAAAUUUCAAUCAAUUAAGGCACGGUGUAGCGUUUGUUUACCUCAUCCUUUAACCAUGUGGUUGAGGGUUCAAUCCCCACGUAUGGGAAUAAAGCACAUUUCAUGCUCAAUUAUUUACCUAUUUGGAGAGCACUCAUAGUGAGGAGAUUAAACCUUGUUAUUGCUGGUGAAUACCCUAAUUAUGACAAAUAAAAAAUAACAACUACCAUUUUUUUUGGAUUAUUUUUGUCAAGUGGUGAAAAUUAUUUUAAUUUUUAUUAAAAAUCAUAUAAAAAGUAUAAAAAUUAUACAAGAAUUAUAAAAAUGCAUAAAUUAGAAAAAAUAUAUAUAAAAAAAUCUAUUGUGAAAACAUAAAAUUAUAGAAAUAUAAUUGCUCCCCCAAAUUCCAUGUUUCCUCUAACUCGUCUAACUGGAUUCUCCCUUAGAAUCAACUUAUUUGGAUUGUGAAAAUCUCCAUCCGAUAUUGAGCAAUUUGCACAAAUGUUGGUAACAUUUUAUAAAAUUAUUUUUUUUGUAAAAAAAAAAGUGAAAAGAAAAUCCAAUUAUAUGGAAUUGGUUUAUUCUCUAUGCAUGUGGAUCACCAUUUGAACAAGCAUAGACGACAAGGUGGACUCGUGAAAAGAAAACAUUUGUUGCAUCAUUGUUGUUUCCAUAUUCUCGCCUACCCAAAGCAGAAAUAAAGGGUGAAUUUGGCAUAUUAGCACCAUUUCUACCUCCUUUCUCCCUCUAUAUAAACCUCUUCCCACCCAAGCUGCCAUUGCCAAAACCCAUCAACUUCACCUCUAUUCUUCUUACUUGAGACCUAUAUUUAGUCUUGAAAUUUGACUCUGAAAAUGGGUUUCGCAUUUGCAUAUCGACUUAUCUUAGUCGUGGCAGUUGCUUCCGUGUUGGGAAUAAGCCUGGCAAAUAAAGACUGGGGCUCCCCUAAUUCCAACUACACUGGUUGGGGUUGGGGCUGGGGCUGGGGCUCCUCGAAGUCUAACCACACUGGUCAAGGCUUUAAUAACCAUCCCGUGAAUGAAACUCAAGGACCCAAAAAGAUAAUUGUUGGUGGAUCAGAAAACUGGCAUUUCGGCUUCAACUACUCCGAUUGGGCAUUCAACAAUGCACCCUUUUACUUCAACGAUACUCUAGGUGAGUCCAUAAUAUUACAUUUUACAAACCAAAGAAAUGGGAAGCUACCUUGUUUUUAUAUUUAUUUGCUGAAAUAAAUGAUGUUUUGAAUUGGUUUGCGUAGUGUUCAAGUACGAUCCACCAAGCAACACCACAUUCCCUCACAGCGUUUACUUGUUUCCCGACCGAUGGAGCUACUUGAAUUGCGACUUAAAGAGAGCGAAGAUGGUGGCAAAUGCAACCCAAGGCGGUGGCGAUGGGUUCGAGUUUGUGCUCAAGAGGUGGACACCCUAUUACUUUGCUUGUGGUGAACGUAAUGGCUUCCAUUGUAAGGUCGGCAGCAUGAGGUUCAUGGUGAUGCCACUCUUUCGUUGGCAUUACUAGAAUACUUGGGAGAUGAUCACAAAUUAAGGAAUAUCGACAUCCAAUAUAACAAAGAUAUUUAGACUUCGAUGACAAAAUUAAUGUGUAAUCGUUUCUUAAAAUGAUGAAUAAUUUAACUGUCAUCUUAUUAUUUAUUUUAUCAAUAAUUUCGUUACAGGUUUUUUUUUUUACACAAUGUUUAGAAUUAUCUAUAGUCUCUUUCUAACCUAUAAAUAGGAAAGUAAUGCGCUUUAACACACUCGAAUUCACAUCCUCCUGCAUUGACAACAAUAUCCAUGCCAAUUGAAUUAAAACUCAAUCGACUUCUUAAUUUAUUUCAAAAGAAAAAAAUACAUCUUUAAUUUGGACCUUUACUUAGUUAACUAAUUUAAAAGACAUUAAAUCUUCUUUAAUUCUACAGUGAUCUGUAAGUUUGAACAUCCAUUUGCCAUGUUAAUGUUAAGUGAUAUAUAUACGGGGCUUAUAGGGAUAGAAAGCCUUUAAGAAAGAAAAUUUUAUGCCCUUCAACUUAAUUCACACUCAAUUAAGUUGUUAUCCUUAAUUCACACUCAAUUAAGUUGUUAUCAUUAAUCCAAAAAAUUAAUUAAGUCCCUUAAUUGUUGAUUUUCAUCUUUGAUCCCGUUGAUGAUUAAAAUUAGCUAAUCGGAUGGCGGUAUUUACCUAAUUCAUAUUUAAUUUUUUAUUUUUCUAAUAAAAAUUAUUAAAAAUUAUAAAUACAAUGUCAAAUUUACCCUCAAUGUUUGCAUUUUUAUUAAUUUAGUCCUUAUUUUGUUUAAACUAAAUUUAAUCAUUAAUCUUUCAAAAAGAGUUAAAUCGCUCUUUUUUUAAUGAAGAUGUUGACUAAAACACUGAUUUUUUAAUGAUGGUGCGACAACCCGCGUUAUAUUUUGUACUUCAUAUUGACAUGACAUUAUUUGCCUUUUAUAUUACGUCAAUAAAUGAUUUAAAAUUUAUAAAAAUAUUAAACAAAACUCAAAAUUUAAGAAAUUAUAAAAAAAUCAUAAAAAAAAAUAAGAAAAAUAGUAUGAAAUACAUUUAGAUUGCCACGUAAGCUAUUAUGUUUAAAAUUUUAACAUUUUAAUUAGUAUUUUCAUUAUUUUUGUUAAAAAAAUAACAACUCCAUUCUUUUCGAAAAGUUGAUUAAAUUCGUUUUUUUUUAAAGGUGAAAUUUAACUUGCAAUUGGAGAAGGAGGAGUCGCUAUAUAAGCCAAGGUGAAGGUGCAACAAAGGGUAUUGGGUUCAUGCAAUGCAUUGGGUUAAAAAAAUGUUUUUUCCGAGUUUUUAUAAUUUUGUAUGAUUUUUCUUAUAAUUUUUUUUAUUUUUAUAAAAAAAAUAAAAGAUUAAAUCUGAAGUUACCAUUUAUCUAGGUUGAUUUUAAUAAUCAACAAAAUCAAUAACGGAAGAGUUAACAGUAAAAUUUGAAUGGUUGCAAGGGGCUUAAUUAUAUUUUUAAUUAUUUUUGGUUUAAGAGCUUUUUAGAGGGAUGAGUGGGAAUUUCUAUUUAUUCAAUCAAAGUAGAGUACAAACAUGGCAUAAUGAAGUCCCAAAGCAUUAGAAAGUGCAAGAUCGUGGAACCUAAAAGUUACUAUUCCUGGCUUAUAGUUGAAUGUUUUCGAAGCCAAAGUUUGAAAAUGAAAAUGACAAUCAACAGGUAAAGCUGUCAUUAUUACAUCACAUAAACGUAUGACUAACUAUGUCCUGUCAACCCCAGAUCAAAGUAUGGCACUUUUCACAUUUUGUUAUGGUAGUGGAGAAGACGUAACACAAUCCAAGAACUAAAACUGAACUGAAUGAUCAAAGGCAAUUUACAAAAUUCCCCACCUACCACCAUUAGCCAACGGCGGCACCUCGGCUCACCCACCAUCACAAUCAUAUGAUUUUUCACACUGCUUCUAAACUUUAACUGUUAAUGGAAACACAAGGAAAUGGUAAACACAGUUCAAUGCUCUCUGACCAAUAACUUUUAAAACCCAAGAAAAACCAACGCCAACCCAUAUAAUUCCCAAACCCAAGCAAAAUCAACAUUUAAAAUGGGUUUAGUUUCAGAAUCUUUUAAGGCAGUUUGGAGUUUGGUAUCAAUAUGAGAAAAAAAAAACAAAGAUUUAAGUAUCAAUGUGGAAAACAGGUAUAAUUUGAAGGCUAAAAUGAGAAUAAAGCCAAAUAUUUGCCAUAUCAUUGCUGUUUCCAUUUUCUCGCCUACCCAAAGCAGAAAAAAAGGUCAAUUUGGCACAUUUGCACCAUUUUCCACCUCCUUUCUCCCCUUUAUAUAAACCUCUUCCCCAACAUGCCAUUGCCAAAAACCAUCAACUUCAACUCCAUUUUCUUUUAGCUGAAUCUUAUAUUGAGUCUUGAAAUUUGACUCUGAAAAUGGGUUUCACGUUUGCAUAUCGACUUAUCCUAGUUGUGGCAACUGCUUCCGUGUUGGGAGUAAGCCUGGCUAAUAAGGACUGGGGCUCCCCUAACUCCAACUACACUGGCUGGGGUUGGGGUUGGGGCUCCUCUAAGUCUAACCACACUGGUCAAGGCUUUAAUAACCAUCCCUUGAAUGAAACUCAAGGAUCCAAAAAGAUCAUUGUUGGUGGAUCAGAAAACUGGCAUUUUGGCUUCAGCUACUCCAAUUGGGCAUUCAACAAUGCACCCUUUUACUUCAACGAUACUCUAGGUGAGUCCUUAAUAUUACAUUUUACAAACCAAAGAAAUGGGAAGCUACCUUGUUUUUAUAUUUAUUUGUUGAAAUAAAUGGUGUUUUGAAUUGGUUUGCAUACGUAGUGUUCAAGUACGAUCCACCAAGCAAUACCACAUUCCCUCACAGCGUUUACUUGUUUCCCGACCGAUGGAGCUACUUGAAUUGCGACUUAAAGAGAGCAAAGAUGGUGGCAAACACAACCGAAGGCGGUGGCGAUGGGUUCGAGUUUGUGCUGAAGAGGUGGACACCCUAUUACUUUGCUUGUGGUGAGCGUAAUGGCUUCCAUUGUAAGGUCGGCAGCAUGAGGUUCAUGGUGAUGCCACUCUUUCGUUGGCAUUACUAAAAUCUUGGAGAUUAUCUCAGAGAAAGAUCGACAUCCAACAUAACUCACAUAUAUAUAGAGUUUUAUUUCACUUUGUUGACAAAAUUAAUGUGUGAUUGUUUCUUAAUAUGGUUGAGAAGCUACUAGUUUGGUUUAUUUUAUGUUGUAAUGAUGCAAAAUAAGCCGUGUUAUAAUUGCACUUAAAGUUUAUAUUGAUGAACAAAUUAACCUUUCUUAAUUUGUUUCAAAGAAAGAAGUUUAAUGAGGGCAAUCUCUUUAAUUUUAUACUUUACUCAUUUAAAGUAUUAGAUACUUUUAAAUCUGCAAUAUUUAGAAAUUUGUUUAAUAUCAUAUAUUAUUAGAGUUAAUACAUUAAUAAUCAAAUAUUUAAGUUUUUAUAGGUGAAUGAAUCACAAGUAAAGUGACAAAAGAUCUGCAUUCAAAUAAUCAAUUAACACCAAUCUCGAGUUCAAUCUUGAACAACAUUAACCCUUACAGAAAAAGAUUUUGGAUACCAGCAUGGAAUUGAUCACUCAUUGACAUACAGGGGCAUAGCAAAAGGGGCGGGAGGGGCCUUGGCCCCCUUUGACUGGAUGGAUUAUUUGUUAUUUUAGUACUUUCUAAAUGUAAAUGGUUCAAUUUUUUAGCUUGUUUUAAAUAAAAGAAAUUUAAUUAUAGCCCUUUCAAAGUUUAAAAAAUACAAUUUAAAUCAUUUUAAUGCAAAUUUUUUAACUUUGACCCCAAUUUUUUUUUAGUUUUAUUUUUACUCCCAUCACAUAAUUCUUAGCCCCCAUUGGUAUGCUCAUGGAUAAAGGCAUACGACAGGGGCGAAGUUAGAAAAAUCUUUUAAAGGAGUAGAAAUUAAAUUGUAAUUUUUACGAUAGUAAAAAUGUAAUUUCACCAUUUUAAUAGCUUAUAUCUUUAUAAUUUUUAAAGAAUUAAAUCAAAUUUUUUUCAUUUAGAGAGAUUAAAAUAUAAUUUUAACUUUACUAAUUUAAAAAUUAUUUUUAGAAGUGAGGUACCCUUCCAUUAGCAUAUUAUACACUCCUUCGCAAAGAACUUGAUAGUGGCGAAGUUAAAGUGUUAAGGGUGUAGAAAAAGGCCUUGUCUGUUUUGAUUAAAUGAAAAAGAAUUUCCUUUAAAUCCUCUCAAAAUAGAAAUCAUUUAACUUAAUCCUUUUAGCUCUUGAAUGAAAUAAAAUAUUACAAAUUAGAGACUAGGCUACGGUUUAUUGAGGAAAAAGAGAAAGACAAUCAAUCGAGUUACCUCCUAUGACCAAGUUACCUCCGCUCCAAACGAGUUGAAUUCGACUCCAUAACAGACGGGGGACGUCUGAUUUCACCAAUCACUAUAGAACCUUCCAGAAUAUAAAGACUGACGGUUCUUUUACCUUUUAACAAAACGAGAGCUCCACGAGAUACUUUAAUGUCGGUCGACUCGAUGUUGAUUCUGCAUCCUUUCAAGUCUGAAAAACUCAAAGAGAUGAGAUUCUUUCGUAAAUUAGGUACAUACCUGACAUCUGAGAGUGUCCUAAUCAUCCCGUCGUGUAUCAUAAUUUUAACAGUACCAAUACCAAUUACCUUACUAGAUGAAUCGUUUCUUAUGCGCACAACUCCACCUUUAACCGAACUGUAUGUGGAGAACCAUUCUCUAUUGGGACACAUGUGGAAAGAACAUCUCGAAUCUAGGAUCCACUCGGACGUGAGCUUGGAGUUAUCGCUCAUUGACACUAAUAAGAAAUCAUCACUGCUUUCAUCGGCCAAAUUAGCACUAGCUACAUCUUCCUCGUUACUCUCAGCAGGUCUUUUAUUUUACAGUUUAUAACAAUUUGCUUUAACGUGACCUAACUUUUUACAAUAGCGACACCUUUUGUCUCGUUUCUUUGAUGCUAUCAAAAUGGAAGCUUGCCUAUCUGCCUUACUAUCCAAACCAAACUCAUUGUCGAGUUUGUCUCUACUCAACAAAUGACCCUUCACAUAUUGGAACGAGAGUUUGUCUCUGCCAUAAAUCAAGAUCUCCCUCAAAGACUUGUAUGAAUGAGUAAAGAGCACAAUAAUAGCAUAGUCUGAUCUUCAUCGUCAAUAUGAACCUCAAUGUUCUUUAAAUCAUUUAAAAGAGUAAUGAAUUGACUGAUGUGAUCUCUAAGAAGUUCACCUUCGUUCAUGCGAAACGUAAAUAGACGUUGUUUCAACACUAAACGGUUAGCCAGAGACUUAGUCGCAUAAAGAGUUUCUAACCUUUUCCACAAGGCAGAUGAGGUCUUCUCCAUCAACACAUCUUGCAAUACCGUAUUUGUGAGGCACAACUGGAUUGCAGAUAAGGCCUUUUCAUCAAGCUCUUCCCAUUCUGUUUGAUUUAGAUUCUCAGGCUUUUUUCCGAUAACAACCUUUUUCAAGCCGGUUUGAACUAGAAUUGCCAUCAUCCGAACUUGCCACAGAUUGAAAUUUGUCUCACCAUCGAACUUUUCAAUUUCAAACCUUAUUGCUACCAUCUCUGAAUGAGCUGAUUUAUGAAAAUUAAAUUAGCUCUGAUAUCACUUGUUAGGAUCGAUCCGAUUAAGUAACAAGUAAAAAAAUAACGGAAUAAAUUGAGAAAUUGAACACACAAAUUUAACGUGAAAAAACCUCUCCAAAAGGAUAAAAAAAUCACGGGCAAAGAUAAUUUUAUUAUAAUGGCAAAAGAACAAAAAGUACAAAAGAUGAAGAUAAAAACUAAACUCCAAAAACCCAAAAACAAAGAACCCUUAAAACGUAAAUACAAAAUUCUCUAAAUAUAUUAUGAGUUCUAAUCUCUAAUGGGUGUAUUUUUUAAGGUUGUAAAAGAGCCUAUUUAUAAGCUAAAUUAAUAGGUCAAAUAAUAAUAAAAUAAUCUCGCCUAAUUAGAGUUUGAUUGAAACAAAUAAACAGAGUUUAACUGAAAGAUUAUUUCUCAAAUUUGACUGAAAUAGGAGUCAUACUCAACACUAAGAAACUGGCCCAUUAUGCCUUUCUUGGGCAGAGCUUAAAAGUAAAUCAUCGCCACCUUCUACUCUAAUUAUUGUAGUGGAACAUUUACAAACUUAUACUUUUUUGCAGAAUAUGAUUCCAGCAGUAGUUGCUAGCAUUGAAACCAUGCUUGAGAAAUGGAAAAGUAAGGACGGCAAAAAGAUAGAAGUGUUCCAAGAGUUCAGAUUAUUGACUUCAGAAGUGAUAUCCAGAACCGCCUUUGGUAGCAGUUACUUGGAAGGGGAGAAGAUUAUUGACAUGUUGAUGAAGUUGACAGUAAUUGCAGGCAGAAAUAUUUAUAAAGCAGAGAUUCCCAUCAUCAGGUAACGUCAUCAAAUCUUUACUUUGCUAAUCAACAUACUUCAGCCGCCAAUGGGUUGAUUUAAUCUGGUUUUCCUUUUCAGCAAGUUUUGGAAAUCUGCUGAUGAAAUUGAAUCAGAUAAAAUUGCCAAAAUGAUACAUGAUUCUGUUAUAAAGAUUGUUAAAAAAAGGGAAGACAAAGUAGUCACUGGAGAAGCUGAUAACAUCGGUCGUGAUUUUCUGGGAUUACUUGUAAAUGCUUAUCAUGAGGCGGACCAGAAAAAUAGGCUUUCGAUACAAGAUUUGGUAGAUGAGUGUAAAACUUUCUAUUUUGCUGGGCAAGAAACAGUCAAUUCCUUGCUUGCAUGGGCAACCCUGCUUUUAGCAAUACACACCGAUUGGCAAGAUAAAGCAAGAGCAGAGGUGAUUGAGGUCUUUGAUAAUCAAAACCCAGAUUCUGAAGGGAUGGCCAAAUUAAAGACGGUAAGCAAACUAUACAAAUUCAAUAGCUUGAAAACUAACAGUGAACAUUUAUAUUGCCUUUUGGAUUUCUUUUUCUCCAACAGAUUACCAUGAUUAUCAAUGAAACUUUACGGCUCUAUCCUCCUAUAAGUGGCGUGAUAAGAAAAGUAGGAAGAGAAGUCCGAUCAGGAACACUUGUCCUGCCUAUUCAUUCAGAGGUCGACAUGCGAAUCAUAGCACUUCACCAUGAUCCUGACUUAUGGGGAGAUGAUGUUGAUCUUUUCAAACCAGAGAGGUUUGCUGACGGCUGAAACUACUAAGUACAAUGCAGCUGCAUUUAUGCCCUUCGGAUUGGGACCUCGAUCUUGCGUAGGCAUGAGCUUUACAAUCAUUCAAGCGAAAAUUGCACUUUCCAUGAUUCUGCAACGCUACACUAUCAAUCUCUCCCCUAGCUAUGUUCAUGCACCUUUACAACGUCUUACACUCAGGCCACAACAUGGGAUUCAGGCCACAACUUUUUUUUUGUUUUAAAAUAUAAUUUCUUUCCUAACGAUAUAAUUUGUUUAUCUAAAAGUGUUUUAGCUAUAAUAAAAUUUGUUACAAUAUCUUUAACACAAUGGUAAUAGUUACAAAUACUAUUACGCAACCAUAGUAUAUUGGUUGCAAAAUAAAAUUUGCAACAAUGUAAAAUUAAAUUUGCUAAGUUUUUUACGUAACAAUAAUAAUAUUGAUUACUAAAUAUUAUUUUGUAAGGAUAUUUUAUUUAGUUGUGUAUUACAUUGUGCAAUGAUUAUAUUUCAUUGUCAAAAAAAUAUUUUAACAACCAUUAAACGUGGUUAUCAAAUCAUUUACGUAACAAUAAUACUAUUUGUUGCUGAAUAUUAUUUUGCAAUAAUGUUUUAAUUGGUUGUGUACUAAUUACGCAACAACUAUAAAAAUUUAUAAAUUGAGUUCGGUUGUUAAAAUAGGAUUCGUUAACUCGACUAAUUCAAAUUUUUUUUACUCGAUCGAAUAUUCACCACUAUUUCUAAACUAUAAUAAUGGAAACUCGUUAAGUCAUAAAAAAUUCAAGUAAAUGUUUUAAACUUGAGUUUUAUGAAUACAAAAAAUAAUUUUAAAAGCUAUUUUAAAUUAUAAAAUUUAUUUGGUAUAAAUUAAAAUUAAAUACAAAAUAUAAUUAGAUUGUUUGAUAAAAUAUAAUAUUUUAAAAAUUUAAAGGUGGGGUAUUUGAAGAAUUUAAAAGAGAUAAAAUAAAAAUAAUUGAAACAAAUUCUACAUUAAGAUAUAAAUAGUUAUUUAUCUACUUUUCAGUUUCCAUAUCUUUUCGUAGAAAAAUCCAAUCAUUUGUUUUUUAUUAUGAAUCAUCAAACUUGCUUAAAAACAUAAAUUAUUAGUUGAUUUAAUUUUUUUUAAUUGAUUAUCAAACAAGCCCUUGAUUCAAGUGCCAUUUAUGUCAAAAAAGUUUUAAGUAAUAGUAACAUAAACAUUCAUUUUAUAACAAUAAAGUUAAAGCCACGAAUAUUUUCAAAAAAAUUCAAUUAAGCCCUUGAAUGUUAAAAUUUCAAUCAAUUAAGCUCUUUGAUAGUUAAAGUUAACAGUUAAUUGUUAUAGUUAAAAUUUCAAUCAAUUAAGGCACGGUGUAGCGUUUGUUUACCUCAUCCUUUAACCUUGUGGUUGAGGGUUCGGUCCCUACUUAUGGAAAUGAAGCACAUUUCAUAGUCAGUCAUUUACCUAUUUGGAGAGCACUUAUAGUGAGGAGAUUAACUACUGUUGUUGUUGGUGGAUACCCUGAUUAUGACAAAUAAAAAAUAACAACUGUCUUUUUUUUUGGAUUAUUUUUGCCAAGUGCCAUGCUAAGAUUGUGCCACGUGGUAUGAAAUUAGAAAAAUCAUAUAAAAAUUAUAAAAGAAUUAUAAAAAUGAAUAAAAUUAGAAAAAAAUAUAUAAAAAAUCUAUUUUUAAAAGGUUAAUAAAUUUUAUAUUUUAUUAUUUUUAAAAGGAUAAUAAAUUUUUAAAAGGUUUUUUUUAUUCUUAUAUUUUUAAGGGCGAUUUAAAUUUAAUUUCAAAAUAGGGCAUGCCUAAUAUAUAAAUAGACAUUUAAUUGGUGUCCAAGAGGAAUGGCGUCACUCCUAUUUUUCAUCUAGUUUAAAAAUAAUAAUUACUUCAUCAGGUAUCUGAACAUUUUAUAUAAUUUUUUUUCAGUUCGAUGUCACCAAUAACAACGACGACACCCAAAAUAUAUAUUUUUUAAAACUACCAAUGACAAUGAGUCACCGACAUUUACUGUUUAAAAUGAGUUUCAAAAUAAGUCAUUUUUAUAAAUAAUUAAAAGUUUUGGGUAUUUUUAAUAAAAAAGCCUAAGUUUGAUGAAUGGCGUCAGCCAUUAUGUAGGUCUACUUAAUACGAAAACGACGGCUUGGUUUUGUUGGCCAAAAGGAAAGUACCUUUUGGGUUUUGCUUUGCCCAAAUGCUAGCAAAGUCUUUGCAUGCAUUUGUUUGAUUGGAAAAGUGAGAAAUAGAUGAACAUGGUAAGCACAAAUUCUAGACAUUACCAUAUCACCUAUAAAAUUUAGUUAUCUUUUUAAUUUCUUUUGGUGUAUUAUAAAAAAAAAUUCUAAUAACACGACUUGAAUCAAAUCAUAUCUUAGUCAAGAGAUGGGGUUAUUUUAAUUUUUGUCUAUAAAAAGAAUCUUGUUCAUUGAGGGCCCUAGUAGGAGGUAUUGAAUAAGAACUAGAAGUCAAAUCCUGCACGCUUCCCAUUUCUGUGUAUUGAAUUGGCUGUAAUUUUCAAAGGACAUGAACCUUGAAGAGGGACAAGUGUAGUCUCUUGAUGAUAAAUGUGUUGACUGUCACCUUGCAAAACCCAGAUUACCAUAACAGGUGCAAAAUCUGAUCGGUGAAGAUAAGAAAAUGGAGACCAUGGGAAAUCUUCUAAUCCUGUUUACAGCUUCUUUAUGCCUCUACCUUUUCGUUGCUUUGCUCAAUGUUUUCUACAAGUAUUGCUGGAUACCUCAACGGGUACAGUUCAUCAUGAAUUCACAAGGAAUCAGAGGACCUCCUUAUGAAUUUAUCCAUGGAAACAACAAAGAAGCUGCCCAAAUGCUCAUGGAAGCAUCUACCAAACCUAUGGCCUUGACACACGAUAUAUUUCCCAGAGUCAUGCCUCAUGUUUACUCCUGGAUCAACAAAUACGGUGAGAAUAUGUUUUUUUUUCCUUUCUUGGGUAGUAUUUUCUGAUUAACCUCCACUUUCCAUGAAGAGAAAUCAUUUU
rnacentral:lncRNA from 1 species